CCGUUUGAAGGGAGUUGUGAGAUCUUUCGAGAUUUCAAGGCUUCUUAGGACUUAUCUUUUAAUUUCUUACUGUCAAUUCUUUCUUUAUUUCUACUUGUGCUGAAUCAUUAUCUAAUCUAUUUUCUGUUCUUAUUGUGUUUUCAGCCUUUUUCUAUCUUAAGGAAUCAGCCCAAAAAUCCCCAAUUUCUAGGGUUUUUCCAUACUCUUUUUGGGUGAAAUUAGAUUGUCGAAAUUUGGGGAAAACUAUCUUGGUGUUCAAUUUGGCAGAAUCACAAUCUCCUUCAGGGUUUCAAGAACCCUAACACUUAUUUCUAUUCUCAAUUUGAUUCUUUGCUGAUUUGGGGAUUUUAUUUCAGAUCUGAAAAUUCAAAAAUCUAAUCUUUUAAUUUUCUGUUUCGUUUCAGAUCUAAUUUUUUAGGGUUUUUGUAGGAGUUUCUCGUGACUUGGCAACUCGAUCUUGGUCCGCGCGCCCCUCCGUAUCAUUUGGUAUCAGAUUUUGGGUGUUUUGGGUGUUCUUGGUUGAUUUCUAAAUUGAUCUCAAUAUUUUAAAGCAAAAACAGUAGUUUUACCCAGAAAAAUCUUUCAAAAAAAAUUUAUUUGAGUAGGUAAACGUUGUCAAAUUGAUCUGAAAUUUUACAUACAUAUUUGUGGCACUGUGAUUGAAUAUAAAAAAUUUAUUCCUGCAAAAAAAUCAGUCAAAAAAGUCAAAAAAUCGAAAAAAAUACGAAAUACAAUAAAAAUUAAAAAAAAUUCAGCGGGUUGAGUUUGGUGCCCAAACUUUCCAGAUCAAAAAUUAAAUAUUUAAGGACAUUCGAGAUUUAAUUUUGUGAUUUUUUGAGAUCAGGAACACCUCAAACGAAGUUGUCAAGUUACUCCACAGUUUUUCGGGUUUUCUAUUUUCAGCAAUUUUUAUUGAUUCUUAGCUGUAGGUUUUCAUUUGUUUGCUUUUUAUUAUCCUUUUAAAAUAUCUAACACCUUCUUGUUUCUUGUGUUAGUAGGAUUUAAACGUGUGCACAAUCCUUCCUCGGUGCAACACGAAUCACUUGGUGUCUCGUCAGUUUUUGGCAUCCUAGUGCAAAUUAGGAUUCUUUGGUAGUUUGGUUCACACUCUCUAAUUGGUUGAUAUAAACUCUGAUAAAGAACUCACAAGAUUGAAUUCGACCUCAUUGAGAAUUUGAUUUUUCUUUUUGAGUGAUUAAUGGUGAGGUUUGCUAACUUUUAUUUUUGAGUGUUGAGUGUUUAUUUUUUACAGGUUUUGAAGAUGUCUAAAGGUGAUAAUAAUGAUGCACUUAUGAAAUCCAACAACAGUUAGACAGACAUACUGCUGCAAUCACACAAAUAAAUGCUACACUUCAAGCAUUGAAUACUACUUUGAAUGAGGUACGAGUGAAUCAAAAACAUCAAUAUCGAGAUCCAAUUAAGGAAGAUAGGGAUAACCAGCCCCAUAGGUGCAACCCUCAACGUGUCCCUAGAAUGGAUGAUGAUUGUCAUGAUCAUGGACAAUCAUCUUUGGCAAAACCAAAGAGCGAGCAGCAACGAGAACAUCUCUUUCAUACUGCUGCCACGUACAAGGUAAGCUUUGUAGAGUUAUUAUUGAUGGUGAAAGUUGCUCGAACAUAGCCAGCACGACGAUGGUGGAAAAGCUUUGCUUAACCACUACCAAGCAUCCACAACCUUAUCAACUACAAGGGCUUAGCAACGAAGGCCAAUUUAGGGUCACUCAACAAGUGCGCAUCGCCUUUUCUAUCGGUAAGUAUCAAGACGAAGUUGUGUGCGACGUAAUGCCUAUUCAAGCCUGCCAUUUGUUGCUAGGAGAACCGUGGCAACUGGAUCAAAAAGUCACUCACGAUGGUCGUACCAAUAGGUAUUCUUUCAAGCAUCAAGGAAAGAAACUCACCUUAGUGCCGCUCACUCUGGAACAAGUCCAUGAGAACCAAAUCAAACUAAAAAAUUCUAUUAAAACAAGUGAGGAAAAAGAAAAAGAGAAUGAAAAAGAGCAAAAAGAGAUUGAGAGUGAAAAAGAAAUUGAAGAAAGAAGAGAAAAUGAAUUAGAAAAAGAAACAAAAGAAAAAGACGUGGAAAGGGUAGUGAGGAAUGUUUCCACUAACCAAGAUAUGAAUUUUUCUUGUGUUGCUACUUUUCAGGUUCCCGAAAGAUCGAAAGAUAACUUUCAACUUCAAUACCUCUCAAAUGAAAGACGCUUUCAUACGAUCAACUUAUGUAAAGAUGAAAUCACACUACAUGAUCCCGAAGGUAAGCGAGGUAAGGAAAUUUUAGAAACCGAGUCCAGUGCAGAUUUGAAAAUUAUCGAUAAAACUUUUGGUGACUUAGUUCUUAAAAGAUCCCCUCAUUUUGAUCCGAUUAAUUGUUACUCUUCGAUUGUGGUUGAUAAAGUCAUUACGAAAAGAAGCGUGAUUUGUUAUUCUCUUGAUUUACCUUGUGUAAAAUCCUUGAAUUUGUCCAAAUCUGUUUUGGAGAAUAAGGUAACGAAAUUUUCCAAAUUUGUUUUCAAUUUAUAUUCGUGCCUUAAACAGUUUAUGUGGUUGUACAUGAAGUUUGAGUUCCAUUUGACAAACGUUAACUCAACAAUGAAGAUUCGACUACACUAUGCCCCCGAUGAGCGAAGGUUUGUUUUAAAUGAAAAAGGUAAAAUCGACCCUGAUUCUUCUGCUUAUCGAGGUAAGAUGCUUGAAACCUUUGAAACACUUUUGUACUCCUCGGAUAGUGAUAAAGAUCGUGUUGAUGAACACUUAGAUCGAAACGUGCUUGACUGUCCUAUUUUAUUUAUUGAUGAUCUAUCUGUUUUGAUGGUUGAUAAAAAGAUUCUUGUUUUUGAUAAUGCAUGUGUGAGUGAAUCUAUAGACCGUCGAUUAAUGCAUGGUAUGAUUAUGCAACUCUGUGAACCAUGUGAAUCUUUUCAAAUACCUACUUGUGACGAUUAUGUUUACCAUUUGAUUUAUUACUCGCAAUUUAUUCAUGGUUUGUGGGAACAAUGUGAGACGACUGAAUGCCUUAAAACAUGUCCAUCUUUGUUUCAAAUAUUUGACGAGGCAGUGGUGAGUAAAUUAGAUUGUUUGCAUGGUAAUCUGAAUCUGUCCAUUCACAUGCGUUAUACCUGUUCUAUUAUGCUUAUGAUUGGACUACAAGCUUAUUUCUGUUGCUAUUUACUAUCUCAUGGCUAUUCUUCUCAGUGGACUCAAUUGCCAUUAGUCCCGUUCGAUAGAGGAAAGUCGAGUUCAUUUGAUUUUUCAGAUUCGAGGACGAAUCUUUUUGAGGAAGGGGGAAUGAUACGAGUCACAAAAGCCCAAAUUCUUGAAGGCGAGGCCCAAUAAGCAAAAUCCCAGCCCAAUCAAGAAAUCCAUCCAUACUUAGUUGAAAAUCAGGCCAAAUUGUCAAAGUGGCCCAAGUUGUAAAGUUUUAUUUUUAUUUUUAUUUAUUUAUUUAUUUAUUUACUUAGUUUAAAUUUUUAUGUCAAUAUUCAGUCCAAGAGUCCCAGAUAAAAUGACCUUUGACCAAAUUUCCAUAUUAAAAUAAUUAGGAGUUUUUUUUUUAUUUUAGUUUUCUAAUUAGAUUAGGACUAGUUAUAAGGCCUAUUUAAAGGCAUGGCUGUCCACCUUGUUAAACACUUAUCAUUAUUAUUAAAAUUUCAGAUUUGUUGAGAGCAGAAUUUUCUUUGAGUUUUCUCCAAGAUUUCUCUCUUGAGUUUUCUUUAGAAGUUGUUUUAACAAUCUUGUGAUUGUGGGAGCCAUCUUCAACCUUCAUCUUGCCAUUGAUAUUCUUUGGAGGGGAGAUUAGAGCCGUUUGAAGGGAGUUGUGAGAUCUUUCGAGAUUUCAAGGCUUCUUAGGACUUAUCUUUUAAUUUCUUACUGUCAAUUCUUUCUUUAUUUCUACUUGUGCUGAAUCAUUAUCUAAUCUAUUUUCUAUUCUUAUUGUGUUUUCAGCCUUUUUCUAUCUUAAGGAAUCAGCCCAAAAAUCCCCAAUUUCUAAGGUUUUUCCAUACUCUUUUUGGGUGAAAUUAGAUUGUCAAAAUUUGGGGAAAACUAUCUUGGUGUUCAAUUUGGCAGAAUCACAAUCUCCUUGAGGGUUUCAAGAACCCUAACACUUAUUUCUAUUCUCAAUUUGAUUCUUUGCUGAUUUGGGGAUUUUAUUUCAGAUCUGAAAAUUCAAAAAUCUAAUCUUUUAAUUUUCUGUUUCGUUUCAGAUCUAAUUGUUUAGGGUUUUUGUAAGAGUUUCUCGUGACUUGGCAACUCGAUCUUGGUCCACGCGCAACCCCGUAUCAAGGGGACUUUGCUAAUUUCCAUUGCUUUGUAGUUCACCGAACCCUUAACAUUCAGAUGAAAGAUGAUGAGAGCCAAAGGACCAAUAUUUUCCAUUCUCGGUGUUUUAUUAAAGGUAACUUAUGUUCACUCAUUAUUGAUAGUGGGAGUUGCUCGAAUGUAGUGAGUAGUUAUUUGGUGGAUUCUUUAAAGUUGCCUUGUACCAAACACCCUAAGCCAUAUCACCUUCAAUGGCUUAAUGAAUGUUUCGAAGUAAAAGUUACAAAACAGUCCUUGGUCACUUUUAAGCUCGGCAAUUAUGAAGAUGAAGUUUGGUGUGAUGUGCUCCCAAUGCAUGCGGCACACUUGCUCCUUGGACGACCUUGGCAAUUUGAUCGUGAUGUUACACACCAAGGUAAACUUAAUCGAUACUCCCUUGUAUUUAAAGGUAAGAAAUUCACUUUUGCUCCUUUAAAUCCCAUUGAUGUAUACAAAGAUCAAUUGAAGAUGAUGAAAAUUUUGUGAGGGGGUAAGGGAGAAAGGGCAAGAAUAAAAGACAGAGAGAAAAGAGGCUAGUAGUGAAAAAAGUCACAAUUUAAAAAGCCCAAAGGUGAGUGAAUCCUCAAGUGGUAAAAUGAGCGAAAAAAAUCUUUUGGCAACAAAAAAAGAUGUGAGGAGAGCCCUACUCAAUAAACAGCCUUGUAUCCUUGUGAGGUUUAGGCAAAAUUAUUUAUCUUUAUCUAACGUUAGCGAAAAUUUGCCUAGUGUGUUUCAAUCUCUUUUGCAGGAUUAUGAGGAUGUUUUUAGUGAGGCCCCUAAAGGUUUACCACCUUUACGAGGGAUUGAACAUCAAAUUGACUUAGUACCCGGAGCUUUGAUUCCUAAUCGACCAGCCUGUAGAUGCAAUCUCGAGGAGACAAAGGAAUUGCAAAGGCAAGUUGAAGAGUUACUAGACAAAGGGUACAUUCGUGAAAGCCUAAGCCCUUGUGCUGUUCCUGUCCUAUUGGUGCCAAAGAAAGAUGGUACGUUUCGUAUGUGUGUUGAUUGUCGCCCAAUCAACAAGAUAACGGUAAAGUAUAGACACCCAAUUGCUCGACUUGAUGAUAUGCUUGACGAAUUACAUGGUUCAAUAAUAUUUACAAAAAUUGAUCUAAAAAGCGGUUAUCAUCAAAUUCGAAUGAGGGAAGGGGAUGAAUGGAAAACAGCCUUUAAAACAAAAUUUGGAUUGUAUGAAUGGUUAGUUAUGCCUUUCGGCCUUACUAAUGCACCUAGUACAUUUAUUAGAUUAAUGAAUCAUGUUUUGAGGCUACAUUUGGGUAAAUUUGUAGUAGUUUACUUUGAUGAUAUUUUAAUUUACUCAAAGUCAUUAGAUGAUCAUGUUUUCCAUGUUCGAACCGUUUUGGAUAUUCUACAAACUGAAAGAUUAUUUGCCAACCUUGAUAAAUGCACAUUCUAUUGUGAUAAACUAAUAUUCUUAGGUUUCAUAGUUAGUGCUCAAGGUAUUCAUGUCGACGAGGACAAAGUUAAGGCAAUUAAGGAGUGGCCGACUCCUAAAUCGGUAAUUGAGGUGAGAUCUUUCCAUGGUUUAGCCAGUUUUUAUAGACGAUUUGUGGAAGAUUUCUCUACUAUUGCUGCCCCAUUGACUGAAGUUAUAAAGAAAUCAGUGGGUUUCAAAUGGGGAGAAACCCAAGAAAAAGCUUUUCAAACUCUAAAAGCUAAGUUAUGUUCUGCUCCUUUACUUAAAUUACAUGAUUUUGCUAAAACUUUUGAACUUGAGUGUGAUGCUUCAGGAAUUGGAAUCAGCACCGUUUUAAUGCAAGAUAAGCAACCUAUUGCUUAUUUUAGUGAGAAAUUGAACGGUGCACAGUUAAAUUACUCGACUUAUGACAAAGAACUAUUGGCAUUAGUUCAUGCACUUCAAGUAUGGCAACAUUAUUUGCUGCCUAAUGAGUUUGUCAUACAUACAAAUCAUGAGUCUCUUAAAUGGUUAAAGGGACAAGGUAAGUUGAGUAAAAGACAUGCCCGAUGGGUAGAAUUCAUUGAAACAUUCCCUUAUGUGAUUCAAUAUAAAACAGGUAAAGAUAAUGUAGUCGCAGAUGCUUUGUCUAGACGAUAUACUUUAAUAACUACAUUGAAUGCUAAAGUCUUAGGGUUUGAACAUAUUAAAGAGUUAUAUGAUGAUGAUACUGAUUUCAGCCAUAUCUAUAAGAAUUGUGGACAUACUGCUUUUGAAAAAUUUUAUCUUGUAGAUGGCUUUCUUUUUCGUUUAAACAGGUUAUGCAUACCAAAGUGUUCCAUAAGAGAAUUGUUGAUUCAUGAGGCCCAUAGUGGGGGAUUAAUGAGAUAUUUUGGAGUGGCCAAAACACUAGACAUAUUGCAAGAACACUUCUAUUGGCCACAUAUGAAGAAGGAUGUGGAAAAGGUAUGUUCCAAGUGCAUUACAUGCAAACAAGCAAAAUCUAAGGUAAUGCCUCAUGGCCUUUACACUCCUCUACCGAUUCCUACUUCACCUUGGGUAGAUUUAUCCAUGGAUUUUAUUUUAGGUUUGCCUCAAACAAAAAAAGGAAGAGAUAGUAUAUUUGUUAUUGUUGACAGGUUUUCAAAGAUGUCACAUUUUAUUCCUUGCCACAAAACAGAUGAUGCUACUACACAUGUGGCAGACUUAUUCUUUAAAAAAGUGGUAAGACUUCAUGGCAUCCCUAAAACAAUUGUUUCUGAUAGAGAUGUCAAAUUCCUUAGCCACUUUUGGAAGGUAUUGUGGGGUAAGCUUGGUACUAAAUUGCUUUAUUCUACUACAUGUCACCCCCAAACUGAUGGUCAAACUGAAGUAGUUAAUCGAAUCUUAGGGACUUUAUUACGAGCUGUUGUGGGAAAGAACAUUAGAAAUUGGGAAGAAUGCCUACCAUUUGUUGAAUUUGCAUAUAAUAGAUCUAUUCAUUCUACAAUUGGUUAUUCCCCAUUUGAACUUGUUUAUGGUUUUAACCCACUAACAGUACUUGAUCUUGCGCCAUUACCUCUUGAACACGUUAUGAAUUUAGAUGGCGAACAGAAAGCUGAGUUGGUGAAAUCCUUACAUGAGAAGGCUAGACAGCGAAUAGCCAAAACAAAUGAUGCCAACACCAACAAAACAAACAAGGGGCGCAAACAGGUUGUACUAGAACCCGGAGAUUGGGUUUGGGUCCAUUUGAGGAAAGAAUGAUUUCCUACAAAAAGGAAGACUAAGUUGGACCCAAGGGGCGAUGGGCCUUUCCAAGUACUCGAGCGGAUCAACGAUAAUGCCUAUAAAAUUGAUCUACCUGGUGAGUACAAUGUAAGUUCUACUUUUAAUGUGGCUGACUUGUCCCCAUUUGAUUUUUCAGAUUCGAGGACGAAUCUUUUUGAGGAAGGGGGGAAUGAUACGAGUCAUAAAGGCCCAAUCCAAGUUCAAGAACGUGAUGGGCUUAAAUUGCCACAAGGCCCAAUAACGAGAUCAAAGGCCCGACAAAUGCGGUCCAAACUAAAUGGGACCAUUCAAGAGCUUGUUAGCAAGGCCUUAGAUGCAUACACAAGAGAACAAGAAAAUCAUGAUUCACUUUCUUGUUUUCAAGAAAAUCAAGAAACCGAAUCUUGGCCCAAUUUUGCUGUUCGAAGAGAUUUCAAGAAUCAAGAAAAUCAAGAUUUCAAAUCUUGGAAAUCUUGGUCCAAGAAACUAAAUCUUGCAGCCAAAACGUAUUGGAUCUCCAUUACGAGCGUCAACGACCCAAUUUUGGUAGGAGAUGGAUCACGAGCCCAAAUUCUUGAAGGCGAGGCCCAAUAACCAAAAUCCAGCCCAAUCAAGAAAUUUCUUCAUACUUAGUUUAAAAUCAGGCCAAAAUGUCAAAGGGCCCAAUUUGUAAACAUCUUACUUGUUUAAUUUAAUUUUUUAAUCUUUAGGAGCAUUACAUGUAAAAUUCGGCCCAAAACAGCCCAUAUAAGUGCAUGGCCGAAUUUACCCUGUUAUUUUAUUAAUUAGGUUUAAUUUUUUAUUAGUUACUUGUGAGAUUAGGAUUUGUUGGAGGCCUAUAUAAGCAUUGGCCAGCCGCCCUUUGUAAACACAUCUUAUUAUUAUUUUUUCUAUCAAAUUUUAGAUUUGUUGAGUGCAGAAUUUUCUUUGGGGUUUUCUCCAAGAAUUCUCUCUUGAGUUUUCUUUAGAAGUUGUUUUAACAAUCUUUUGAUUGUGGGAGCCAUCUUCAACCUUCUUCUUGCCAUCGAUAUUCUUUAGAGGGGAGAUUAGAGCCGUUUGAAGAGAUUUGUGAAAUCUUUCGGGAUUUCAAGGAUCUUUAGGACUUAUCCUUUAAUUCUUGCUGUUUUCGAUUUCUUUCUUUACUUUUCUUUGCUUAUACUUGUGCCAAUUUCUCAGCUAAUAUUUUGCUGUUCUUGUUUGUUUUCCAGCAUUGAUUAAACUCAAGAUCUCAUCGUUUAAGUUGUUCUCCUAUUGGCAGCACCCAUUCGAACCCAAAAAUCCCCAAUUCCUAGGGUUUGGCCGAUUGGAUCUCUUUCAAUUUGGGGAUCAAUUGAUUGCUGGAAAUUAGGCAUUCUUGGCCGAAUCAAUCCCUUGGCAGAUUCGCAUCCUUUCCAUACUUUCAAUUCCGUUUGAUUCACUUAUUCUAUUUCUUUGUUUCUUGCUGCUCAUUUAAUUGAAUUUGGGGAAUUUCAAUUCAAUUCAGAUUUGCUUUUAAUCUUGUUCUUUGUUUUAAUUUUUAGAUCUGUUCGUUUAGAUCUGUUCGUUUAGAGCUUUCGUAGGAGUUUCCCGUGACUUGACGACUCGAUCUUGGUCCGCGCGCAUUCCUCUAUCAAUCAAUGACCCAAUUUCGGAAGGAGAUGGAUCACGAGCCCAAAUUCUUAAAGGCGAGGCCUAAUAACCAAAUUCCAACCCAAUCAAGAAGUUCCUUCAUACUUAGUUGAAAAUUAGGCCAAAAUGUCAAAGGGCCCAAUUUAUAAACAUUUUAAUUGUUUAAUUUAAUUUUUUUAGCUUUAUGAACAUACAUGUAAAAUUCGGCCCAAAAACAGCCCAUAUAUAUGUUUGGCCAAAUUUUCCCUUUUUAUUUUAUUAAUUAGGUUUAAUUUUAUUAGUUACUUGUUAGAUUAGGAUUACUUGAGGCCUAUUUAAAGGCAUGGCCGGCCACCCCUUGUACAUAACACUUAGAUUUAUUCUUAAAUUUCAGAUUUGUUGAGAGCAGAAUUUUCUUUGAGUUUUCUCCAAGAUUUCUCUCUUGAACUUUCUUUAGAAGUUGUUUUAACAAUCUUUUGAUUGUGGGAGCCAUCUUCAACCUUCUUCUUGCCAUUGAUAUUCUUUGGAGGGGAGAUUAGAGCCAUUUGAAGGAAUUUGUGAAUUCUUUCGGGAAUUCAAGGGUUCUUAGGACUUUUCUUUAUUUCUUGCUGUUUCGAUUUUUUACUUUAUUCCUACUUGUGCCGAUUCAUUAUCUAAUCUUUUUUGCUAUUCUUGCUUGUGUUUCAGCUUUGUUUAACUCCAAGAUCCUUCCAUUUAAUCGGUCUACUUUUGGGUAGUAAACUUUCGAACCAAAAUCCCCAAAUCCUAGGGUUCUUGUCGAUUAAUACAUUCUGAUUUUGGGGAAAUCAAGUUGCUGGAAUUUGGGGUUUUUCUUGUCGGUUUGUUCUUGGGCAGAUUCGGCUUGUGGGAUUUCACUAUUGGAGUUCGAUUUCAUCUUCUUGAACUCCGAAUACAUUUUUAUUCAUUCGUUCUUUGUUCCUUGCUGCUCAUUUAAUUGAAUUUGGGGAUUUAAUUUCAGAUUUGAUUAGUUUAAUCUUGUUCUUUGUUUUAAUUUUCAGAUCUGUUCGUUUAGAGCUUUCGUAGGAGUUUCCCGUGACUUGGCAACUCGAUCUUGCUCCGCGCGCAACCCCCAUAUCAUUUGGUAUCAGAUUUUGGGCGUUUUGGGUGUUCUUGCUUGAUUUCUAAACUGAUCUCUAUUUUUUAAAAGCAUAAACAGCAGUUUUACCCAGAAAAAUUGUUCAAAAAAAUUAAUUUGAGUGGGUAAACGUUGUCCAAUUGAUCUGAAAUUUUACAUACAUGUUUUUGGAACUGUGAUUGAAUAUAAAAAAUUAUUCCCGCAAAAAAAUCAGUCAAAAAAGUCAAAAAAAUUAAAAAAGACGAAAUUCAAUAAAAAUUUAAAAAAAGAUUCAGCGGGUUGAAUUUGGUGCCCAAAAUUUCCAGAUCAAAAAUUAAAUAUUUAAGGACAUUCCAGAUUUAAUUUCGUGAUUUUUAGAGAUCGGGAACACCUCGAACGAAGUUUUCAAGUUACUCCGCAGUUUUUCGGGUUUUCUGUUUUCAGCAAUUUUUAUUGAUUCUUAGCUGUAGGUUUUCAUUUGUUUGCUUUUAUUCUUCCGUUACGUUAUCUAAAACCUUCUUGUUUCUUGCGUUAGUAGGAUUUACACGUGUGCACAACUUCUUCCUCGGUGCAACACGAAUCAAUUGGUGUCUCGUCAGUUUUUGGCAUCCUAGUGCAAAUUAGGAUUCUUUGGUAGUUUGGUUCACACUCUCUAAUUGGUUGAUAUAAACUCUGAUAAAGAACUCACAAGAUUGAAUUCGACCUCAUUGAGAAUUUGAUUUUUUCUUUUUGAGUGAUUAACGGUGAGGUUUGAUAACUUUUAUUUUUGAGUGUUGAGUGUUUUGCAGGUUUUAAAAAAAAAUGUCUACAGGUGAUAAUAAUGGUGACAUAUUUAAAAAAUUUCAACAACAGUUGGAUGAACAGGCUGCUGCUCUUCGAGCUUUGACUGCUACCAUCAAUGAGGUGCGAUUGAGUCAAGAACCUCAAUAUCGAGAUCCAAUCAAAGAAGAUAGGGAUAACCAACCCCAGAGGCGUGGCCCUCGACGUGUCACUAGAAUGGAUGAUGAUUUUCAUGAUCAUGGGCAACCUUCUUUGGCAAAACCGAAAUUCACAAUUCCCCAAUUUCGUGGUAAGAAUGAUCCUGACGCUUAUUGUGAAUGGGAAUCUAAGAUUGAACUUAUGUUUCGGUAUUAUAAAUGUCCGGAUGAUGAAAAGGUAGCAUUAGCAACACUGGAAUUUUCUGAUUAUGCAUUAAGUUGGUGGACUUAACUUGGGGUAAACCGCCAUCGGAAUUAUGAAGGUGAGAUUUCGACAUGGGAUGAGUUGAAACAGAUUAUGCGUAAAAGGUUUAUUCCACCUCACUACUAUAGAGAAAUUAAAACAAAGUUGAGAAGACUUAUCCAAGGUAGUAGGAUAGUGGAUGAAUAUUUUAAAGAGAUGGAGAUGCUCAUUCAGAGAGCUAAUGUGGAGGAGGAUGAAGAAACAACUAUGGUUCGAUUUAUUGAUGGUUUGAACAGGCUGAUAGCUAAUACAUUGAGGCUACAAACUUACAUUGAUUUGGAAGAAACAGUUCAUAAAGCCAUUAAGAUCGAGCAACAACUAAUGGAACAAAGGUUUGGUUCCUUCUCGACUUCGCAAUAUUACCGAGGUAACAAUUCCAAUUCUGAUUUUAAGAGCUCAAAAUCACCUUUCGUUACUAACAAGUCUUCUUUGAGUAAUGGAAGCAAGCAAUCAGAUUGGACAAAAGGGGCUCCUGUUAAAAUGCAAACACCUUCUAAGCAGCCCAAUUUAGGAGAUUCAAGUGCGAAGAGGACUCGUGAGAUUGAGUGCUUCUUUAAGUGCAAAGGGCGUGGUCAUUAUAGUAGGGAAUGCCCUAACACGAGAUUACUUCUUCUGAAAGAUAAUGGUGAGUACACUUCCGACUCUGAUAAAACAGAUCCAAAUAUUCUAGAACUUGUGGAUGACAGUGAUAAUGGCGAAGAGUUGGUCGAACCACCAAAAGAAGGGGACUUUGCUAAUUUCUAUUGCUUUGUAGUUCGCCGAACCCUUAACAUUCAGAUGAAAGAUGAUGAUGUGAUCUCAAUCGCAUCAUGUUGUGGCACCACUCGUUGCUAUCAUGAUUGGCCUAAACACGAGGGCCCCAAGUGCAAGAUGAAGCUCAAUCUCAGCUCAACAAGCUCAAUCUUAGUUUUUCCCAGCUCGAUUUAGCUCACAUGAGCUUAAUUUAGCUCGUUUGAGCUCAAUUUAGCUUACUUUAGCUCGUUUGAGCUUGGCUUAAGUUUAUUUCAACUCAUUUAUUUUAAUGUCUGAAUAAAUUAAGUAAUUUAUUAAUUUAGCUUAAAUUACUACAGCUCAUAAUUAUGUUUUGACUUAUUACAUGUUUUAAAUGUGUCUUGGCCGAAUUUAAUAUGUCUUGUUAAGACUUUAUUAAAUUUGUCUAAUUUAAUUUAUGUUUAAUUAGUGUGUCUAAAUUAUAUUAAUGUUUGUUCAGCUGAAUUUUAUGUGAUUUAAUUUUGGUUCAUGUGUUUUUGUAGGUGAGUUGAAUUUGGAGAGUAAUUAAACAAGGUUCAUGCAUGAUAGGUUCAAUGUAUGGGAUGGUGCAUGUAAGGGCUCUUUCAAUGAAUGGUGGCUGAUCCAUUUGGCUCCCCAAGGCACCUAUUUGGCCAAAAGGUGUCCAGCAACUUAAAGCACAAGCUUGGCCGAUCGUAUUCCCAAGGCAGCAUCUAAGCCAUUCACACCUCAAUUUGACCAAUCAACUCCUAUACAUGUAUGGGUGGAUUCAUGAACGUCCAAAGGGAGGGAAUAUUACCUUAAUUCAUCACAUUGAAUGUAUAAUGUGUAUGUACAAAGGGGAGAACGAAUUUACAAGGUACAUGCUUCCAUUCAUGAACCAGCCCAUCAUUAAAGCUUUAAUUAAGAGAGAUGUAUUACCCAUGCACCUAGCAUUCGUCCAAGAGGGGUUGGAUAUGAAUUGAAGAUGCACAUUCAUGGAACAAGGAAGCUUUCUUAUUGGUUAAGCAUGCAUGAACGGGUUUUGGGAAGAAACAUGAUUAUUCAACCAUGCAUGAACUUACACUAUCCAUGAACAGAGAUUUAAUGCUUGAAGUGUGAACAUUUUUAAUUGUUGUGUGAACACAUUAGUAGCUGAAUUUUAAUAGGCAUUAGAGAGCCUAUAAAUAGUUUAUUUUGUUUAUUGUAAAAGGCUACAGAAUUUGAUUAUUGAAAACUUGAUUGUGAGGUUUCCUCCUAUCCUAUUUCGUACGAGUCUUGUUCUGACUUAUCUAGCUCGCUAGUGGCGUCAACCCGACUUCUUGAACUUAUCACCAUCCUGGUGUGGCGUUCAUCCACCUUUUUAUACCUUUGGUUCCUACCUCUCUAUAGGUAACGGGUCAAGGUCCAUCUUCGACUUCCAUUAAACCCACCUUAAGCAAUAUAAGUCCCGGGGUAAUACUUUACAUAGUAUUGAAUCGUUCUUCGCUUGAGUUCAAUUUCCAUUCCAUUUUAUCUAUCUACUUAAACUUUAUUUUCUUUGUUAAACUGAACCUAUCCAUUCUCCAAACCAAGCCAUUUUUGAACCCUUUUAAUUACUUCCGCUUAAAACAACUCCAUAAAGUUAUCUCCAUUAGACAUCAACCAAUACUUCUCGUCGACGAUCAGGCAACUUAAGUGAACUCGACUCCAUCAACUGAGCCGGAUCACAUCAUUUGGUAUCAGAGCUACUAAAACGAGGAGCGCUGAUGUUCGUAAUAAGGCCGCAAGUAGGUUCGAAACGUGAAAAAAAAAUCAAAAAAAAAUGAGUUGUAAUUUAAUUUUUUUCCCUUGUAUUUAGCUUACUAUUGUAUUGGAGUAACAAAAAAAUCGAAAAAAAAUUCGAAAAAAAAUUGAUUGAAAAAAAAAUUCAAAAAAAAGUGAAAAAAAAAUCGAGCAAAAAAAAAAAGAAAAAAAAGGUGAGCAAAAAAAAAUCAAGUUUAAAAAAAAAGUGAAAAGUCUUGCGAGUUUUUAUUUUCUUCUCUUAUUUACUCCGAUCAUCAAGUUUCCCUUCCUACCAUUAUUUACCAUCCCAACGCCACAUUUUAAACCAAUUUUCUUCUUUAUUCAGCCUACCCUACACCCGGCAUUAUUCCUUGUAACCCAUUUUGAAACCGACCCUCAAGCAGCAAAUUAAGUCUAUCGAGACGAAUUACGAAUUUGUGAGACAAGGUCGAGUGGUAAAAGGCAAGAGAGCGUGAGUUCAUUCAAAAAAAAGCCUAAAAGAGAGUUCAAACACGAGUGAGUGAAUUUUUCUUUUUGAGCGAACUUGAGAGAUUUGUGGUGAGAAUUAUUUUUCUUUCUAAUUUAACUUUUGUUUUCUAAUAUUUUGUUGAAGCAUGUCUGAAGAAUUUUCUGAAUUUGAAUUCCAAAUGUGGAGACAAGAAAUGCAAAGGAUAAUGCGAUCUGAAUUUCGAUAAUUCGACAAAGAUAAAGAAGAUUUGACACCUACUAUCGUUGACAUCAAGAUUAGUGCAAUCCUUCAAAGAUUGGAAAAUGAACCACAAUGUGAAGAUAUGUUUCACACGCGUUACCGUGUCCACGAUAAAGUUUGUUGCCUCAUUAUUGAUGGUGGAAGUAGGUCAAACAUGGCUAGUAUUCGAACGGUAAAAAAACUUGGCUUGGCCACUACCAAGCAUCCACGACCCUAUCAACUGCAAGGACUUGGUGUUGAAGGCAAAUUUGAAGUUACUCAACAAGUGCGUGUUGCAUUUUCCAUCGGAAGAUACCAAGGCGAAGUCCUUUGUGAUGUUGUGCCUAUUCAAGUCUGUCAUUUGUUGCUAGGAGAACCAUGGCAAUCGGAUCACAGGGUCAUUCACGAUGAACGUACCAAUAGGUAUUCCUUCAAGCAUCAAGGAAGGAAAAUCACUUUAGCGCCGCUCACACUGGAAUAAGUGCAAGAAGACCAAUUCAAAAUGAAGCAAUCCAUUGAGCGAGAAAAGGAGAAAGAGAUUGAAAAAGAAAUUGAAAGAAAACAAAAAGAAAAUGAAAAAGAAAAAGAAAUUGCAAAAGAAAAAGAAAUCGAAAAAGUGAGAGAAAAAGAAAAUGAAGAAAAGAAAUUGAGAAUGAAAAAAAAUUGAAAAAGAAAAAGCGAAAAAAGAAAUUGAAAGAGAGCUUGAAAAGAAAUCAAGUGAAAAAGAAAGAGAGUCUGUAAAAGAAACGAGUGAAGUGAGUAAUCACAAAAAAGAGAGGAAUUUUUUUGCUAACCCCCUUUCGAAAUUACCUUGUGAUUUUUCUUUGUUUCAGGUUUGCAAGAUUCCAUCCACGGAUUGGUUCCAACUUCAUUACCUUUCUACCGAGAGACGUUUUCAAUUGAUUGAAAGAGGUAAGUUGGAAGAUAAAAAUGAUUGUCAAAUUUUCAAUGGUAAGCAAGGUAAGGGUUCCUUGUUGAGCGAGUUUCAACUCAUUUACUCACAUGUUUAUGACAAGAUUGCUGAAAAUUAUUUUUGCGAAAUUGUUUUCCCCAUUGAAUUGGUUAAUUUUCGUUCAUCUAUUAUUUAUGAUUUUGUUUUAACUAGUGCUUUGAAAAGUUUUUUCUAUGAUAAGUUUUUUGCUUGCAAUUUUAUUGAAGGCGUUCGAUUAGAUCAGCAUGAACAAAGUGUGAUAGUGUGCGAUAAAGAUUAUUCACAUACAAAGUUCGAUUUGUUUGAUUAUCAUAUUCUGAAUGAUGGUGAUUACACCUUCCAUAGUGGUAAGAAGUGUUUUCCUAUUGAUGAGUAUGGUAUUGGCAAGAAUUUUACUGAAGUACGAAUAAAUCCGCACAAACAAAUUUUGAACUCUUGUGAUAAAAAGUUGGCAUGUGAAACGCCUAGUCUACUUGUGUGUGGUGAUAAUUUGAAUUUUCUAUUUUUUUGCGUAAAUUCCCCAUGUUUGAACAAGUCUAUUCGAAUGAGAUUUACGAUGUAUGAAUGUUUGAACAUAUGCAUGCUCAAAUUCUUUUUGUUCCACUUGUGUGAAUUGUUGGUAAUUAAGAAAUUCACACUGCAUUUUGGAACGAGGGAACAAUAUCGUGUGUUCAACCCUGGAGUUCGCUAUUCUGGUUCAUCUUUGAGAGAAGGCAAGCAUUGUAAAUUUUGUUUGAAUGACCAAGUAAACAAUCGUUGCUUGUAUGAUGCUUUUUCACUAAGUUUGAAAACGAGACGUGUGAAUCUUGUUGGCUUGUUAAGACAAAAUCAAAUUUUUGAUUGUAGAGAAUGUUGUUUAUUUUUGUUUAACAGAAUCAAGACAUAUGAAUGUUUAAAGGCAUGCUUGUUUAAUUUUCUUUUGAUCCGAAUAUGUGAUAAGACGAUGGCAUGUAAAAUGGUUAGUGCAUUUGAAUUUGAAGAUGGUGUCUCAAAUCUGCCUUGCUAUAUAAAUUCUGCAUGUUUAAGUAAGAUUGAUCGAGUGGAACUUAGAUUACAUGAUCAUUUGGAGGACUCCUUGAUAAAUUUUGAUUAUAAAUUUGAUUUGAUUCUGAUGCAUCCUUUAUUACCAAGUAUGGAAAACCAUUGUGAACAGGUAAGAUCCACUUCUACAUUUGAUCCCAGCAUUGGAUUAUGCAUUCUAAUUUUGAAUAAGAUUCUGAAAAGAUCGUUUGAGUUUAUAAAUUUUAGUGUCACUAAUUCGUUCUAUUUCUAUGUAGGUGACACUUUGGAAUGGUUUCCUCCUAAAGAGGGAGGGCAUGGAACUAAAUCAUUUUCUUUUCAAACCAUUUGUGGUUCCUGGAGUUUUAAAAACAAUACUUUUUGGAUCAUGAACAAAAGGGCUUGUGAUCUCGAAAAAUUUUUCGCGAGCAAGUGGCCCGAUUUGAGGACAAAUCAUCUUCAAGAGGGAGGGUAUGAUGUGAUCUCAAUCGCAUCAUGUUGUGGCACCACUCGUUGCUAUCAUGAUUGGCCUAAACACGAGGGCCCCAAGUGCAAGAUGAAGCUCAAUCUCAGCUCAACAAGCUCAAUCUUAGUUUUUCCCAGCUCGAUUUAGCUCACAUGAGCUUAAUUUAGCUCGUUUGAGCUCAAUUUAGCUUACUUUAGCUCGUUUGAGCUUGGCUUAAGUUUAUUUCAACUCAUUUAUUUUAAUGUCUGAAUAAAUUAAGUAAUUUAUUAAUUUAGCUUAAAUUACUACAGCUCAUAAUUAUGUUUUGACUUAUUACAUGUUUUAAAUGUGUCUUGGCCGAAUUUAAUAUGUCUUGUUAAGACUUUAUUAAAUUUGUCUAAUUUAAUUUAUGUUUAAUUAGUGUGUCUAAAUUAUAUUAAUGUUUGUUCAGCUGAAUUUUAUGUGAUUUAAUUUUGGUUCAUGUGUUUUUGUAGGUGAGUUGAAUUUGGAGAGUAAUUAAACAAGGUUCAUGCAUGAUAGGUUCAAUGUAUGGGACGGUGCAUGUAAGGCCUCUUUCAAUGAAUGGUGGCUGAUCCAUUUGGCUCCCCAAGGCACCUAUUUGGCCAAAAGGUGUCCAGUAACUUAAAGCACAAGCUUGGCCGAUCGUAUUCCCAAGGCAGCAUCUAAGCCAUUCACACCUCAAUUUGACCAAUCAACUCCUAUACAUGUAUGGGUGGAUUCAUGAACGUCCAAAGGGAGGGAAUAUUACCUUAAUUCAUCACAUUUAAUGUAUAAUGUGCAUGUACAAAGGGGAGAACGAAUUUACAAGGUACAUGCUUCCAUUCAUGAACCAGCCCAUCAUUAAAGCUUUAAUUAAGAGAGAUGCAUUACCCAUGCACCUAGCAUUCGUCCAAGAGGGGUUGGAUAUGAAUUGAAGAUGCACAUUCAUGGAACAAGGAAGCUUUCUUAUUGGUUAAGCAUGCAUGAACGGGUUUUGGGAAGAAACAUGAUUAUUAAACCAUGCAUGAACUUACACUAUCCAUGAACAGAGAUUUAAUGCUUGAAGUGUGAACAUUUUUAAUUGUUGUGUGAACACAUUAGUAGCUGAAUUUUAAUAGGCAUUAGAGAGCCUAUAAAUAGUUUAUUUUGUUUAUUGUAAAAGGUUACAGAAUUUGAUUAUUGAAAACUUGAUUGUGAGGUUUCCUCCUAUCCUAUUUCGUACGAGUCUCGUUCUGACUUAUCUAGCUCGCUAGUGGUGUCAACCCGACUUCUUGAACUUAUCACCAUCCUGGUGUGGCGUUCAUCCACCUUUUUAUACCUUUGGUUCCUACCUCUCUAUAGGUAACGGGUCAAGGUCCAUCUUUGACUUCCAUUAAACCCACCUUAAGCAAUAUAAGUCCCGGGGCAAUACUUUACAUAGUAUUGAAUCGUUCUUCGCUUGAGUUCAAUUUCUAUUCCAUUUUAUCUAUCUACUUAAACUUUAUUUUCUUUGUUAAACCGAACCUAUCCAUUCUCCAAACCAAGCCAUUUUUGAACCCUUUUAAUUACUUCCGCUUAAAACAACUCCAUAAAGUUAUCUCCAUUAGACAUCAACCAAUACUUCUCGUCGACGAUCGAGCAACUUAAGUGAACUCGACUCCAUCAACCGAGCUGGAUCACAUCAGAUGAUGAGAGCCAAAGGACCAAUAUUUUCCAUUCUCGGUGUUUUAUUAAAGGUAACUUAUGUUCACUCAUUAUUGAUAGUGGGAGUUGCUCGAAUUUAGUGAGUAGUUAUUUGGUGGAUUCUUUAAAGUUGCCUUGUACCAAACACCCUAAGCCAUAUCACCUUCAAUGGCUUAAUGAAUGUUCCGAAGUAAAAGUUAGAAAACAGUCCUUGGUCACUUUUAAGCUCGGCAAUUAUGAAGAUGAAGUUUGGUGUGAUGUGGUCCCAAUGCAUGCGGCACACUUGCUCCUUGGACGACCUUGGCAAUUUGAUCGUGAUGUUACACACCAAGGUAAACUUAAUCGAUACUCCCUUGUAUUUAAAGGUAAGAAAUUCACUUUUUCUCCUUUAAAUCCCACUGAUGUAUACAAAGAUCAAUUGAAGAUGAUGAAAUUUCUGAGGGGGUAAGGGAGAAAGGGCAAGAAUAAAAGACAGAGAGAAAAGAGGCUAGUAGUGAAAAAAGUCACAAUUUAAAAAGCCCAAAGGUGAGUGAAUCCUCUAGUGGUAAAAUGAGCGGAAAAAAUCUUUUGGCAACAAAAAAAAAUGGGAAGAGAGCCCUACUUAAUAAACAGCCUUGUAUCCUUGUGAGGUUUAGGCAAAAUUAUUUAUCUUUAUCUAACAUUAACGAAAAUUUGCCUAGUGUGUUUCAAUCUCUUUUGCAGGAUUAUGAGGAUGUUUUUAGUGAGGCCCCUAAAGGUUUACCACCUUUACGAGGGAUAGAACAUCAAAUUGACUUAGUACCCGAAGCUUCAAUCCCAAAUCGACCAGCCUAUAGAUGCAAUCCCGAGGAGACAAAGGAAUUGCAAAGGCAAGUUGAGGAAUUAUUAGACAAAGGGUACGUUCGUGAAAGCCUAAGUCCUUGUGCUGUUCCUGUCUUAUUGGUGCCAAAGAAAGAUGGUACGUUUUGUAUGUGUGUUGAUUGUCGCCCAAUCAACAAGAUAACAGUAAAGUAUCGACACCCAAUCCCUAGACUUGAUGAUAUGCUUGAUGAAUUACAUGGUUGAUGCGACCCCGGCCUCGGUGAUGAGAGUCGAGUCGUUGAUGUGCCCGAUCGUUAAAAUUAAGGAGUAUAAGUUGAGGUUUUCAAGUCGGGUUGAAAAGAACAAAUUGGCUGGAAACAAGAAAAUAUUUAAGUGAUUAAAGGAUGGAUAGGGUAGGUUCGAUUUCAAGGCUGAAGAAAGAACCGAUAUUAUAUGCAUUAUUGACCCAAAUCUUACGUUAGCUUGAAAUGAUGAAAAAUUGUUAAUCGUGACCCAAUAUCUAUGAGAGAUAAGAACCAACGAUAUAGGAUUGAAGGCCACACUUUAGUAAAGUGAUAAGUUUGAAAUUGACAGGAUUGACGCCACAAGAAUGUCUUGAUAAGUCAAUGGAGUCAAGAGAGAACAAAGGGAGUUGAAAUACUCACCAAUUGAACAAAAGUUCAUAAUUGAUCAAAGUCUCAAAAUUAGUAACCUUCAAAUGAUUACAAAAACAACAAUUUAUAGGCUGAAUAUGUUCCAGCCGAAUGAACUGAAAGCAAUCAGCUUAAUUACACUUAAUUGAACUCAAAUGGCUGUUGAAAUAACCAAAAAGUCAUUUGGAAACUUCUAUGCAUAGGUGACAUCAAUGGGCAGGUUGUUUAGUCUUCCAAUUCAGCUAAUAAUUGCACUAAUGAGCUGAAAUGAUUUUGUUCAAUGUUUGAUUAGCUGAAAACAUUAUGAGCAGCCUUUAAUUCCUCCUUGGGUAGCUAAAUAAGCAUCAGCCAAAUUAAUGGUAGUUUAAGCACACGAACAGCCCAAGUGUGUGAACACUUGAUGUCCAACAGCCUCCAAGUGUGGAUGAACGAAAAUGAAUAGCUCUUAUGGUGUGAAAACGUUUUUGUGAGAUGAAUGGCCUUGUGUGAACAACUCUUUGUCCAUUGCUCUUCACGAAUAGCCACUUGGAGAAGCUAAAAACUAUUGCUGGAUUUUUAAUUCAGCUCAUGGUCCAUUGAGCUUCACGAAUAGUCACAUGAAGAAAAGGAAUCAUCAACUCUCUUCAUAGCCAAUUCAUGCAUGUACCUGAAAGCAAUUUAAUUCAUAAAUUUAAUUCAUAUUAGGACACAUUUAAAUUGACAGCAACAAGACACAUUAAAUCUGCUCAUUAAUUCAGCUGGACUAAGACACAUUAAAAUGAUGUAAUAAGCUGAAUAAAUUCAUGUCAUGUGCUAACUAAGACAUAUUAAAAACAUGUAAUNNNNNNNNNNNNNNNNNNNNNNNNNNNNNNNNNNNNNNNNNNNNNNNNNNNNNNNNNNNNNNNNNNNNNNNNNNNNNNNNNNNNNNNNNNNNNNNNNNNNNNNNNNNNNNNNNNNNNNNNNNNNNNNNNNNNNNNNNNNNNNNNNNNNNNNNNNNNNNNNNNNNNNNNNNNNNNNNNNNNNNNNNNNNNNNNNNNNNNNNNNNNNNNNNNNNNNNNNNNNNNNNNNNNNNNNNNNNNNNNNNNNNNNNNNNNNNNNNNNNNNNNNNNNNNNNNNNNNNNNNNNNNNNNNNNNNNNNNNNNNNNNNNNNNNNNNNNNNNNNNNNNNNNNNNNNNNNNNNNNNNNNNNNNNNNNNNNNNNNNNNNNNNNNNNNNNNNNNNNNNNNNNNNNNNNNNNNNNNNNNNNNNNNNNNNNNNNNNNNNNNNNNNNNNNNNNNNNNNNNNNNNNNNNNNNNNNNNNNNNNNNNNNNNNNNNNNNNNNNNNNNNNNNNNNNNNNNNNNNNUGAACAAAAGUGUGAGGAAAAAGAGAAAAUUGAAAAAGAAAGAAAAGACAAUGAGUUAGAAAAACAAACGAGAGAAAAAGAGGCAAAAGAGCAAGAAAAAGUGAGGAAUCUGUUUACUAAACCACAUGAGAAUUUGUCUUGUUUUGUUUCCUCUUUUCAGGUCUCCGGAAGGCCAAGUGACGAUAAUUUUCAACUCCAAUACCUCUCAAAAGAGAGAAGGUUCAUUUUGGCUGAAAAAGUUAAUGUUCUCAACGAUCCUAGUUCGCCUAUGCCAAAAGGUAAGCAAGGUAUGAAUGUUGAAAAUUUUAAAGCACUUCUGCCUUACUCGAUUGUUGAUGGACACACUGUUGAUGAUUUGGUCUUUAGAAAGAAUCUGAACUUUGACGUGGCUAUUUGUCAUUCUUUGAUUGAUGAUGAUCCAUUUGUUUUGUCUAAUGAUAAGAAGAUUCUUGCUUUUGAAAAAUAUCAUUUUGAUGGUAUUGGUUGUUUAUCUUUAACUUGCAAUGGAAUGCAUGUUUUGGAUGCGCAAGAUGAAAGUCCAUAUAAAAUGUUUAUUCUCACUGACCAUGUUGAAAAGGAAUGGAAAUGUAUUGAUGAAUACGCCAUUGGCAAGAUUUUUGAUGAAGAGCGAAUAAAUCAGCACCAACAAAAUCUGGAAUUGUGUGAUCAAAAGUUGACAUAUCAUCUGCUUGGUUGUGUUGAUCAUGUGGAUUAUCUAAUUUUUGGUGUGAAAUUUCCAUGUUUUUGUAAAUCUUUUCGAAUGAAAUUUAAAGGGUUUGCUUGUUUGAAUUUGAGUAUGUUAACACCCUCGUUGUUUAAUUUGUGUAAGUUGGAGAUAAAAGGACUCUUUUUGCCAUUUGGAUCGAGUAGUCAAAAUCAUGUCUUUAAUCCUGGAGUUUGCUAUUAUGAAUCAUCCAUGAAAGAAAGCAAGCAUCGUAAAAUUUGUUUGAAUGAAUGUGUAAACAAUCUUUGUUUGUAUGAUACUUUGUCUUUAAGUUUGAAAAUGAGCCAUGUGAAUCUUGUUGGUUUGUUAAGUCAAAAUCAAAAUUUUGUUUUCGGAGGAUGUUCUCAACUAUGGACUAAAAGAUCCGAACAUGUUUUGAAUGAUAAUGAUUUUGAGUUGCUUAGUGCUCUUUCUAUGAAGUCGGUCAUGAAAUUGCCAAAUCAAAUUGAAAUGGCAAGAGAAAAUUUUGUCUUUGACCCCGGUGAACACCAUUCUAUAUCAUUGCCUAAGGUAAUUGAACCAUGGAAAGUUGACUUCCAAAACCAUAGCUAUCAAAUGCCUUGUGAUUUAUGUUUGUUUCCAUCGAAGAAAAAGGUAAGAACGAUUUCUAUUUUUGACCCCGGUAUUGGAUUAUUUGUUCAAACUGUGAAUCAAAUCUCAAAAAGUUCCUUUGUGUUUAAUCUUCAUCGUGUCACUAAUUCGUUUUAUUCUUUUAAAGGUGACAACGUGAAGUGGUACCCUCCUAAAGAGGGAGGGCAUGCGAAUGAGCUUCUUUUGAUCCGAAUUAAUUGUGGCUUUCAGAAUCUUCAACGAUUUUUCGCGAGUAAAUGGCCCGAUUUGGGGACAAAUCACUUUAAAGAGGGAGGGGAUGAUACGACCAUGCCCCGGGCACACUUUUGGAUCAGCUCCCUAAGCAUUGUUUGCAAAUCCAUGCGAGCUGAAUUAGUUCAAUUUCAUUUCGUUAAGCUCCGUUUAGCUCGUUUCCAGCUCACUCGAGCUCAAGUCAACUCACUCAAGCUCAAUUCAGCUCAAUCUUAACCCAAUGAGCUUAUUUUUAGCUUUCUUUAGCUUGCAUUUAUUUUGCUGAAAUAAACCAUUUAAUUUGUCAUUAGUUAAAUUAGUUGUUUAUCUUAAGUUAGUUAAUUUGUUAAAAUCUGGACAAAUAAUGAAUUAAGUGUUUUAAUUAUAUCUAAAUUAAAUACUUAAUUAAUUAUGAUGUUUUAAAUAUGUCUAAAAUUGUUAAUAUGUAUGGCCAAAUUUAAUGUGCAAAUUAUUGAGUUCAUAUGCUGCUAAUUUAAUGUGUUUGAAAUGCAUUUAACUUGCUGAUUUAAUUUGCUGCAGGUUCAUGAAUGGAUUGGUGCAAUGUAUGGGAGUGUGCAUGCACAAUUGAGGUUCAAUGGAUGGCAUUUAAAGGAGCACAUGCAUUUGGGACGUUCAUGCAAGAGGGAGUUGCUGAAAGUUCAUGUAUUUGAAGAUUCAUGGAUCAUAUUUAUGGGGGAAAAUACAUGGGACGUUUCAUGCAUGAUUCAUGCAUUUUCAAGAUGACCAUUCAAGUAUUUUAGGCACAUUAAUGCCUCAUUCAGCCAAGGGAGAUGUAGGAUCAUUAAAGAGCUGCACAUUCAUGGAAUUAUGGAGAUUCUUCAAGGCUAAGGAUGCAUGAAUGCAUCAAGUGAAGCAUCAUGAUGGUUCGGCCAAUUCAUGUACCAUCUUCAAGCAUGAACUAGAUUUUAAUGCUAUUUGUGUGAACAUGUUAAAUACCUGUGUGAACAGAAUUUAAGUUAGUGUGAACAACAUAGAUGCCGAAUAUCAAUAGGCAUUUUAGGCUUAUAAAUAGCUUACUUGUUUAUUGUAAAAGGUUACAGAAUUUGAUCAAUUAAACUUAAUAGAACUUUUAUUCUUGUGAGGUUACCUCCUCUCUUCUUUCGUUCGAGUCUCGAAGCGACUUAUCUAGCUUGCUAGUGGUGUCAAUCCGAACUCCAUUGAACUUAUCACCGAAUUGGUGUGGCGUUCAACCAUAUUUUUAUAUCUUUGGUUCUUACCUCUAUAUAGGUAUUGGGUCAAGGUUCGCUUCUAUCCUUCAUCAAAUUUCACCUUAAGCAAUAUAAGACUCGGGCAAUACUUUUUAGUAUUGAACAUUCUUGACGUUUAAGUUUUAUUUUCCAUCUCCAUCAAUUACCUUUUUCUAACCUACCUUGUUUCUAUUCUAAACCGAAUUUAUCAACACCAAACCACUCAUCUAAACCCUCUCAAAGCUUCCGCAACCCUUAGCCUAAAUCACCCAAUUUUGACAACUCCAACUACUCCUCGUAGACGAUCGGGCAACUUUGUGAAACGACUCGAUUAACCUGGGCCGGAUCACAUCACCGAGAAUGAACCAACAAAUAAGGGAAUUGUUGACCCGAAUCUCAAAAUGGUGCUUAGGUGUUUAACGGUUUAAAGAAACAGCAAGAAACCUUGACCCACUAUCAACUAUGAUAGGAACCAAAGGUAUAUUGAACGCCACACCAAAGGUGAUAAGUUUGGCAAACAAAGAAAAGAUGGACGCCACAAGCUAUGCUGGAUAAGUCAAAUCAAUUUCGUAAGAACAAAGAGAAUUGGAUAGCUCACAAUUCAAAUAUAACAUCUAUAUUCAGCAAAAGUCCCCUCUCUAAGGCUGAUUACAACUAUUUAUAAUGCUAGAACAAGGUAACCGAAUGGUAAAAAACCUAGACCCACUAUCAAGAAUGAUAGGAACCUUGGUAUAUGAUGAACGCCACACUAUGAAAGUGAUAAGUUCGAAAACAAGAAAUGGAUAGACGCCACAAGCUAAGCUUGAUAAGUCAAAUCAAUUCCGUAAGAACAAAGAGAAUUGGAUAACUCACAAUUCAAAUAUUUCAUCUAUAUUCAGCAGAAAGUUCUUCUCUCUAUGGCUGAUUACAUCUAUUUAUAAUGCUAAAACAAGGUAACCGAAUGGUCAAAAACAUCCACUUAAUGUGCCAUAAAAACUGAUGUCUUUUCUUAUGCUUUGAACCAAAUAACUCCUUCCAUAAAAUCAUUUCAAUUCAGCUGAUUUGAAUGUUUUUAAUGUCUUAAAAAUGUCUCUUGAGUUGUCCUUGGCUAGCUGAAUAGACACCAUCUUUUAACCUGCUCCUUAAUGACAUUCAAAGGUUUGAUUAAUUUCUCUUGAAAGCUCCAAAAACGGCUGGAAGUGGAAGAGUUGCUGCUGAAUUUUAAAGGGCAUAAAAUGCUCUUUAAAAACUCCUUUUAAUGAUCUUUAAGCUCCUUUUUUUAACAGCCCCUUUAAUUGUAACUCAAAAGAACUUGAACAGCCACUUAUUAAAUGUGUAACAGCCUUGAAUUGUAACCACUAUAAGCUAAAAAGUCACCUGCAAUAAACACAUUAAAAUGAGUUUAUUAAACACAUUAAAAUGAGUUUAUUAAACAUAUUAAAACACUUAUUAAUCAUAACACAUAUUAAACUUACUUAAAUAAAUGAACUAAAACAUAUAUGCAAUAAUUAUUCCAGCAACUAGUUUAAUUAAAGAAGCAUAAUUUAAAGAACUUAAUUUAUGCAUAAAUAAAUAAUCCUAGGAACUAGAUCAAUUAAGAAGCGUCUUAUUUAAUAAAGUUCAAUAACUAACUCAUGUAUUAAAACUUUAAGAUAAGUUAAAGUAAUUGAUCAGCAACUUAUUUAUUAAACUAAAAUAAGUUAAUUAAAAGAAACAAAUUCAGCUUGCAAUAAAUUGCAAGUAACGCCUUUUGAACGGUUUGAAGCACGACUAUCAAAUUCGGCCACUCCCUCUUCCCAAGCUCGUUCCACAUAGCUUGCUAUUACAUUUCGAAAUCUCUUAGCUCAUGAUCGAGUUAUUGGUCCUCGUGGCAGCUCAAUGGAUUCAGUAGUAAUUUCCCGGGCUAAGGUUGCAUCAACAUCUCUUUCAUACUCGCUACCAUGUACAAGGUAAGCUUUGUAGAGUUAUUAUUGAUGGUGAAAGUUGCUCGAACAUAACCAGCACGACGAUGGUGGAAAAGCUUUCCUUAACCACUACCAAGCAUCCACAACCUUAUCAACUACAAGGGCUUAGCAACGAAGGCCAAUUUAGGGUCACUCAACAAGUGCGCAUCGCCUUUUCUAUCGGUAAGUAUCAAGACGAAGUUGUGUGCGACGUAAUGCCUAUUCAAGCCUGCCAUUUGUUGCUAGGAGAACCAUGGCAACUGGAUCGAAAAGUCACUCACGAUGGUCGUACCAAUAGGUAUUCUUUCGAGCAUUAAGGAAAGAAACUCACCUUAGUGCCGCUCACUCCGGAACAAGUCCAUGAGGACCAAAUCAAACUAAAAAAUUCUGUUAAAACAAGUGAGGAAAAAGAAAAAGAGAAUGAAAAAGAGCAAAAAGAGAUUGAGAGUGAAAAAGAAAUUGAAGAAAGAAGAUAAAAUGAAUUAGAAAAAGAAACAAAAGAAAAAGACGUGGAAAGGGUAGUGAGGAAUGUUUCCACUAACCAAGAUAUGAAUUUUUCUUGUGUUGCUACUUUUCAGGUUCCCGAAAGAUCGAAAGAUAACUUUCAACUUCAAUACCUCUCAAAUGAAAGACGCUUUCAUACGAUCAACUUAGGCAAAGAUGAAAUCACACUACAUGAUCCCGAAGGUAAGCGAGGUAAGGAAAUUUUAGAAACCGAGUCCAGUGCAGAUUUGAAAAUUAUUGAUAAAACUUUUGGUGACUUAGUUCUUAAAAGAUCCCCUCAUUUUGAUCCGAUUAAUUGUUACUCUUCGAUUGUGGUUGAUAAAGUCAUUACAAAAAGAAGCGUGAUUUGUUAUUCUCUUGAUUUACCUUGUGUAAAAUCCUCGAAUUUGUCCAAAUCUGUUUUGGAGAAUAAGGUAACGAAAUUUUCCAAAUUUGUUUUUAAUUUAUAUUCGUGCCUUAAAUAGUUUAUGUGGUUGUACAUGAAGUUUGAGUUCCAUUUGACAAAGGUUAACUCAACAACGGAGAUUCGACUACACUAUGCCCCCGAUGAGCGAAGGUUUGUUUUAAAUGAAAAAGGUAAAAUCGACCCUUAUUCUUUUACUUAUCAAGGUAAGAUGCUUGAAACCUUUGAAACACUUUUGUACUCCUCGGAUAGCGACAAAGAUCGUGUUGAUGAACACUUAGAUCGAAACGUGCUUGACUGUCCUAUUUUAUUUAUUGAUGAUAAAUCUAUUUUGAUGGUUGAUAAAAAGAUUCUUGUUUUUGAUAAUGCAUGUGUGAGUGAAUCUAUAGACCGUCGAUUAAUGCAUGGUAAUCUGAAUUUGUCCAUUCACAUGCGUUAUACCUAUUCUAUUAUGCUUAUAAUUGGACUACAAGCUUGUUUGCAUUGCUAUUUACUAUUUCAUGGCUAUUCUUUUCAGUGGACUCAAUUGCCAUUAGUCCCGUUCGAUCGAGCAAAGUCGAGUUCAUUUUGAUUUUUUAGAUUCGAGGAUGAAUCUUUUUGAGGAAGGGGGGAAUGAUACGAGUCACAAAGGCCCAACCCUAGCUUAAAAAGGUGAUGGGCUCAAAUCAAGAAAAUCAAGAUUCACUUUCUUGUUUUCAAGAAAAUCAAGAAAUCGAAUCUUGGCCCAAUUUUGCUGUACGGAGCGAUUUCAAGAAUCAAGAAAAUCAAUAUUUCAAAUCUUGGAAAUCUUGGUCCAAGAAACCGAAUCUUGUAGCCAAAGCGCGUUGGAUCUCCAUUACGAGCGUCAACGACCCAAUUUCGGUAGGAGAUGGAUCACAAGCCCAAAUUCUUAAAGGCGAGGCCCAAUAAGCAAAUUCCCAGCCCAAUCAAGAAAUCCAUACAUAUUUAGUUGAAAAUCAGGCCAAAAUGUCAAAGGGCCCAAUUUGUAAACAUUUUAGUUGUUUAUGUUAAUUUUUAAGUUUUAGGAAUAUCACAUGUUAAAUUCGGCCCAAAACAGCCCAAUAGGAUGCAUGGCCGAAUUUUCCUUUGUUUUUUUUAAUUAAGUUUAAAUUUUUUUAAGCUUUCUAAUUAGAUUAGGAUUUGUUGGAGGCCUAUAUAAGCAUUGGCCAGUCACCCUUUGAAAACAUCUUAUUAUUAUUUUUUCUAUCAAAUUUUAGAUUUGUUGAGUGCAGAAUUUUCUUUGGGGUUUUCUCCAAGAAUUCUCUCUUGAGUUUUCUUUAGAAGUUGUUUUAACAAUCUUUUGAUUGUGGGAGCCAUCUUCAACCUUCUUCUUGCCAUCGAUAUUCUUUGGAGGGGAGAUUAGAGCCGUUUGAAGAGAUUUGUGAAAUCUUUCGAGAUUUGAAGGAUCUUUAGGACUUAUCCUUUAAUUCUUACUGUUUUUGAUUUCUUUCUUUACUUUUCUUUGCUUAUACUUGUGCCGAUUUCUCAUCUAAUAUUUUGCUGUUCUUGUUUUUUUUCCAGCAUUGAUUAAACUCAAGAUCUCAUCGUUUAAGUUGUUCUACUAUUGGCAGCACCCAUUCGAACACAAAAAUCCCCAAUUCCUAGGGUUUGGCCGAUUGGAUUUCUUUCAAUUUGGGAAUCAAUUGAUUGCUGGAAAUUGGGCAUUCUUGGUCGAAUCAAUUUGUUGACCGAUUCGCAAUCUUUCUAUACUUCCAAUUUCGUUUGAUUCAUCUAUUCUAUUUCUUUGUUUCUUGCUGCUCCUUUAAUUGAAUUUGGGGAUUUAAUUUCAGGUCUGAUUAGUUUAAUCUUGUUAUUUGUUUUAAUUUUUAGAUCUGUUCGUUUAGAGCUUUCGUAGGAGUUUCCCGUGACUUGGCAACUCGAUCUUGGUCCGCGCGCAACCCUAUAUCAUUUUUAGUUUUUAUUGUUUAUGCGAUUUAGUUGCUGGACUUGAUUUAAUUUUUUUUAAUAAGUUAGUUAAGUUAGUUUCAGCAUGCACAUGAAUUAAUUUGGGUCUAAUAAUUUUUAUAUUAAAUAUGCUUUAUUUAAUACAUGAUUUAAAUAUGUCUUCAAUUAGUACACAUUAAUUUGUCCUAGGUUAAGACAUGAAUUUAAUUUGUCUAUGUUCGGCUGAAUUUAUUAUGAAGGUAAUUAAAUUGUUUAAACUCGUAACAUGUCUUAAAUGUGUCCAAGAGUGGUUGCCAAAUUUGUGAGUUUACUUUCUCUCAAAUUUCGCUCGAGACCCGAAAGACUUAUCUAGCUUCUAGUGGCAUCUUCCCGAGUCUCUUUUGAACUUAUCACUCUUAAACCCGAGUGUGGCGUUCAACCUUUAUACCUCUGGUCUGUUUCUUACCUUAGUUACGGGCCAAGGUCUUAAAUUACCAUUUCAAAAUACUUUAAAGGCCAUAUAAGUUUCGGGUCAACACUUGUUUUAGUGUUGGUUCACUCUUGGUCUUUAAGUUCCAUUCGUUUCCCACUUUCCUUCUUAAACCAAAACCUGAAUUCCAUUCCUUAUUAUCCGAACUAAAACCAACCUACUUCUAUUAUUCUGAACCUAUUAUUAAAUACCACUUAACCCAUACUUAGUCUACACUAGGCUAAGCUUUUAAAGUCGAACGACACUUCUUCGAUUACGAUCGGGCACCCAAUUCGACUUGGCUCAACUUACGAACCCGAGAUCGUAUUAUUUGGUAUCAGAACUGGUUAAAUCAAGGAGUACUAAUGUUCAAAGUCAUCCCGGAGUAAGUUUGUAAAAAAAAUUAAAAAAUUAAAAAAUUAAAAAAGAAAAACAUUGAAAAAAAUUAUGGAUUGAAGUUCUUUAUUUGUAUUUGACAUUUGUGAUUGAAAAAAAAAGAGAAUUUCGAAAUUAAAAAAAACUUACGAGAUUACAAUUUAGCUCAGAAGUUCAUGAUCACCCCUUUGUUGUUUCCCUUCUUUUCUUCUUUUACGCCACACUUCUAAACCCUUUCUUUAUUUUUUUAGCCUACCCUCCACCAAUCAAAUCAAUCCCUUGUAACCCAUUUGAAGUCGAUUCCCUAGACUACGAUAACGUCAUAUCGAGCCACUUAUGAAGUCACGAGAGAAAGUCAAGUGGAAAAAGGCACGAGUGUCUAAGCGCAUUCGAGAGGAUGUAAAAGCCGAAAAGAGCGCAAACACGAGUGUGAGUGACCUUUACUCUCUUUUCGAGUGAAACGUGAGGAUUUGCUGUGAGGUUUAAUCUAUAUGUGUGAUACGAGUCAUAAAGGCCCAAUUCAAGUUCAAGAAUGUGAUGGGCUCAAAUUACCACAAGGCCCAAUAACGAGAUCAAAGGCCCGACAAAUGCGUUCCAAACUAAAUGGGACCAUUCAAGAGUUUGUUAGCAAGGCCUUAGAAGAAAAUCAAGAUUCACUUUCUUGUUUUCAAGAAAAUCAAGAAACCGAAUCUUGGCCCAAUUUUGCUGUUUGGAGCGAUUUCAAGAAUCAAGAAAAUCAAGAUUUCAAAUCUUGGAAAUCUUGGUCCAAGAAACCAAAUCUUGUAGCCAAAACGCAUUGGAUCUCCGUUACGAGCAUCAACGAUCCAAUUUCGGUAGGAGAUGGAUCACAAGCCCAAAUUCUUGAAGGCGAGGCCCAAUGAUAGAGGAAUGCACGUGGACCAAGAUCGAGUUGCCAAGUCACGGGAAACUCCUACGAGGCUCUAGACGAAUAGAUCUGAAAACAGAAACAAAGAACAAGAUUAAAAGCAAAUCAGAAUUGAAUUGAAAUUCCCCAAAUUCAAUUAAAAGAGCAGCAAGAAACAAAGAAAUAGAAUAAGCGAAUCAAAUGGAAUUGAAAGUAUGGAAAGGAUGCGAAUCUGCCAAGGGAUUGAUUCGGACGAGAAUGCCUAAUUUCCAGCAAUCAAUUGAUCCCCAAAUUAAAAGAGAUCCAAUCGGCCAAACCCUAGGAAUUGGGGAUUUUUGAGUUCGAAUGGGUGCUGCCAAUAGGAGAACAACUUAAACGAUGAGAUCUUGAGUUUAAUCAAUGCUGGAAAACAAACAAGAACAGCAAAAUAUUAGAUGAGAAAUCAGCACAAGUAUAAGCAAAGAAAAGUAAAGAAAGAAAUCGAAAACAGCAAGAAUUAAAGGAUAAGUCCUAAAGAUCCUUGAAAUCCCGAAAGAUUUCACAAAUCUCUUCAAAUGGCUCUAAUCUCCCCUCCAAAGAAUAUCGAUGGCAAGAAGAAGGUUGAAGAUGGCUCCCACAAUCAAAAGAUUGUUAAAACAACUUCUAAAGAAAACUCAAGAGAGAAUUCUUGGAGAAAACCCCAAAGAAAAUUCUGCACUCAACAAAUCUGAAAUUUGAUAGAAAAAAAUAAUAAUAAGAUGUGUUUACAAAGGGUGGCUGGCCAAUGCUUAUAUAGGCCUCCAACAAAUCCUAAUCUCACAAGUAACUACUAAAAAAUUAAACCUAAUUAAUAUAAUAACAAGGUAAAUUCGGCCAUGCACUUAUAUCGGCUGUUUUGGGCCGAAUUUUACAUGUAAUGCUCCUAAAGAUUAAAAAAAUUAAAUUAAACAAGUAAGAUGUUUACAAAUUGGGCCCUUUGACAUUUUGGCCUGAUUUUCAACUAAGUAUGAAGAAAUUUCUUGAUUGGGCUGGAUUUUGGUUAUUGGGCCUCGCCUUCAAGAAUUUGGGCUCGUGAUCCAUCUCCUAUCGAAAUUGGGUCGUUGAUGCUCGUAACGGAGAUCCAAUGCACUUUGGCUGCAAGAUUCGGUUUCUUGGACCAAGAUUUCCAAGAUUUGAAAUCUUGAUUUUCUUGAUUCUUGAAAUCGCUCCAAACAGCAAAAAUUGGGCCAAGAUUCGAUUUCUUGACUUUCUUGAAAACAAGAAAGUGAAUCUUGAUUUUCUUGAUUUGAGCCCAUCACCUUCUUAAGCUUGGGUUGGGCUUUUGUGACUCGUAUCAUUCCCCCUUCCUCAAAAAGAUUCAUCCUCGAAUCUAAAAAAUCAAAUGAACUCGACUUUCCUCGAUCGAACGGGACUAAUGGCAAUUGAGUCCACUGAAAAGAAUAGCCAUGAAAUAGUAAAUAGCAACGCAAACAAGCUUGUAGUCCAAUUAUAAGCAUAAUAGAACAGGUAUAACGCAUGUGAAUGGACAAAUUCAGAUUACCAUGCAUAAUAGAACAAGCUUGUAGUCACCAAAAGUUUUAUCAAUAAUUUUCAAAUCUGCACUGGACUCGGUUUCUAAAAUUUCCUUACCUCGCUUACCUUCAGGAUCAUGGAGUGUGAUUUCAUCUUUACCUAAAUUGAUCGUAUGAAAGCGUCUUUCAUUUGAGAGGUAUUGAAGUUGAAAGUUAUCUUUCGAUCUUUCGGGAACCUGAAAAGUAGCAACACAAGAAAAAUUCAUAUCUUGGUUAGUGGAAACAUUCCUCACUACCCUUUCCACGUCUUUUUCUUUUGUUUCUUUUUCUAAUUCAUUUUCUCUUCUUUCUUCAAUUUCUUUUUCACUCUCAAUCUCUUUUUGCUCUUUUUCAUUCUCUUUUUCUUUUUCCUCACUUGUUUUAACAGAAUUUUUUAGUUUGAUUUGGUCCUCAUGGACUUGUUCCGGAGUGAGCGGCACUAAGGUGAGUUUCUUUCCUUAAUGCUUGAAAGAAUACCUAUUGGUACGACCAUCGUGAGUGACUUUUCGAUCCAGUUGCCAUGGUUCUCCUAGCAACAAAUGGCAGGCUUGAAUAGGCAUUACGUCGCACACAACUUCGUCUUGAUACUUACCGAUAGAAAAGGCGAUGCGUACUUGUUGAGUGACCCUAAAUUGGCCUUCGUUGCUAAGCCCUUGUAGUUGAUAAGGUUGUGGAUGCUUGGUAGUGGUUAAGCAAAGGUUUUCCACCAUCGUCGUGCUGGCUAUGUUCGAGCAACUUUCACCAUCAAUAAUAACUCUACAAAGCUUACCUUGUACAUGGCAGCGAGUAUGAAAGAGAUGUUCUCGUUGCUGCUCGCUCUUUGGUUUUGCCAAAGAUGAUUGUCUACGAUCAUGAAAAUCAUCAUCCAUUCUAGGGACAUGUUGAGGGCUGCACCUAUAGGGCUGGUUAUCCCUAUCUUCCUUAAUUGGAUCUCGAUAUUGAUGUUUUUGAUUCACUCGUACCUCAUUCAAAGUAGUAUUCAAUGCUUGAAGUGUAGCAUUUAUUUGUGUGAUUGCAGCAGUAUGUCUGUCUAACUGUUGUUGGACUUUCAUAAGUGCAUCAUUAUUAUCACCUUUAGACAUCUUCAAAACCUGUAAAAAAUAAACACUCAACACUCAAAAAUAAAAGUUAGCAAAACUCACCAUUAAUCACUCAAAAAGAAAAAUCAAAUUCUCAAUGAGGUCUAAUUCAAUCUUAUGAGUUCUUUAUCAGAGUUUAUAUCAACCAAUUAGAGAGUGUGAACCAAACUUGAUACGAGUCACAAAGGCCCAACCCAAGCUUAAGAAGGUGAUGGGCUCAAAUCAAGAAAAUCAAGAUUCACUUUCUUGUUUUCAAGAAAAUCAAGAAAUCGAAUCUUGGCCCAAUUUUGCUGUUCGAAGCGAUUUCAAGAAUCAAGAAAAUCAAGAUUUCAAAUCUUGGAAAUCUUGGUCCAAGAAACCGAAUCUUGCAGCCAAAGCGCGUUGGAUCUCCAUUACGAGCGUCAACGACUCAAUUUCGGUAGGAGAUGGAUCACAAGCCCAAAUUCUUAAAGGUGAGGCCCAAUAAGCAAAUUCCCAGCCCAAUCAAGAAAUCCAUACAUAUUUAGUUGAAAAUCAGGCCAAAAUGUCAAAGGCCCAAUUUGUAAACAUUUUAGUUGUUUAAGUUAAUUUUUAAGUUUUAGGAAUAUCACAUGUUAAAUUCGGCCCAAAACAGCCCAAUAGGAUGCAUGGCCAAAUUUUCCUUUGUUUUUUUUAAUUAAGUUUAAAUUUUUUUAAGUUUUCUAAUUAGAUUAGGAUUUAUUGGAGGCCUAUAUAAGCAUUGGCCAGCCACCCUUUGUAAACAUCUUAUUAUUAUUUUUUCUAUCAAAUUUCAGAUUUGUUGAGUGCAGAAUUUUCUUUGGGGUUUUCUCCAAGAAUUCUCUCUUGAGUUUUCUUUAGAAGUUGUUUUAACAAUCUUUUGAUUGUGGGAGCCAUCUUCAACCUUCUUCUUGCUAUCGAUAUUCUUUGGAGGGGAGAUUAGAGCCGUUUGAAGGGAGUUGUGAGAUCUUUCGGGAUUUCAAGGCUUCUUAGGACUUAUCUUUUAAUUUCUUGCUGUCAAUUCUUUCUUUAUUUCUGCUUGUGUUGAAUCUUUAUCUUAUUUAUUUUUUGUUCUUAUUGUGUUUUCAGCCUUUUUCUAUCUUAAGGAAUCAACCCAAAAAUCCCCAAUUUCUAGGGUUCUUCAAUACUCUUUUUGGGUGAAAUUAGAUUGUCAAAAUUUGCGUGGAAUGAUGGCAAGAAGAAUAACGCUUUUGGAAAUUGCGAUGCUGAUGAGUUUGUUAGUAAAAUAAUAAUUAUUCGGCAUUUGCAAGAUAAGAAGACAUAUAAGCCAUUCCAUCAGCUUGAUUUGGGUAAAAAUAUGCACUCAUUGAUCUUUUGUGAGAAACUACUGUGUAUAAACAAGAAUGUGCGUAUGAGAUUUGAGACGUAUGAAUGCUUGAAAACAUGCAUGUCUUUGAUUUGUUUGUUUGAUAUGACGAUGACAUGUAAAAUGGUUAAUGCACUUAAAGUUGAAGAUAGUGUCUCAAAUUUGCUUUGUUAUCCAAAUUCUGCAUUUUUGAGCAAAAUUGAUCGACUGAAAUUUAGAUUACAUGAUCAUUUGGAUGAGUUCUCGAUGUAUUUUGAUUAUAAUUCCAAUUUGAUUAUUAUGCAUGCUCUAUUGUCGAGUAUGGAGAUUCAAUUUGAAAAGGUUAAUUCAAGCAAGGAAUUUCGACUACUCUACAUCGCCGAGGAGCGAAGGUUUUGUUAAGCGAGCGAGGUAAGAAUGAACUUUAUUUUCCUGCUCCAAAGGGUAAGCCUCCUGAAAUUUUUAAAAAAAUUUUGUUUUCCUCGGAUGGUAAUAACAAUCUUGUUCCUGAAUUAGUUUUUGAAAGAUACUUUGAUUGUGAUAUGGUUAAUUGUUUUGCCUCAAUUGAACAUGAUCUAUCUAUUUUUAUUGGUGACAAAAAAAUUCUUGUUUUUGAUAAUUAUGUUGAUGUAAUUGUAAUAGAAUCGAUAGUCAAUCGACUAAUGCACGGUUUGAUUGUGCAACUUCGAGAGCCAUGUAAAUAUUUUUCAUUACUUGUUUGUGAUGCCUAUGUACAUAUUUUGACUCAUUACUUGGGAUCUGAUGUGAUCCGGCUCGGUUGAUUGAGUUGAUUCACUUGAUUGCCCGAUCGUCAACGAGAAGUUUGUUCGAUUUUGUAGAUAGAUGGAGUUAGAUGAUUUUUUAUAGCGGAAGUUGAGGAAAUGGGUUCAAAAGAUGGUUUGGAUAGAUGUUUGAUAGGCUCGGUGAAAUAAAGAAAUAUUGUUUAUAAUUUAAUAGUUAAAAUGGAAUGGAAAAAUAGAACUCAAGCGAAGAACGAUUCAAUACUAUAUGAAGUAUUGCCCCGGGACUUAUAUUGCUCAAGGUGGAUUAAAUGGAUUGUCGAAGAUGGACCUUGACCCGUUACCUAUAGAGAGGUAGGAACCAAAGGUAUAAAAAGGUGGAUGAACGCUACACCAGGAUGGUGAUAAGUUCAAGAAGUCGGGUUGACGCCACUAGCGAGCUAGAUAAGUCAGAACGAGACUCGUACUGAUACGAUUCACAAAAGCCCAAAUUCUUGAAGGCGAGGCCCAGUAAGCAAAUUCCCAGCCCAAUCAAGAAAUCCAUCCAUACUUAGUUGAAAAUCAGGCCAAAUUGUCAAAGUGGCCCAAGUUGUAAAGUUUUAUUUUUAUUUUUAUUUAUUUAUUUAUUUAUUUACUUAGUUUAAAUUUUUAUGUCAAUAUUCAGUCCAAGAGUCCCAGAUAAAAUGACCUUUGACCGAAUUUCCAUAUUAAAAUAAUUAGAAGUUUUUUUAAUUUUAGUUUUCUAAUUAGAUUAGGACUAGUUAUAAGGCCUAUUUAAAGGCAUGGCUGUCCACCUUGUUAAACACUUAUCAUUAUUAUUAAAAUUUCAGAUUUGUUGAGAGUAGAAUUUUCUUUGAGUUUUCUCCAAGAUUUCUCUCUUGAGUUUUCUUUAGAAGUUGUUUUAACAAUCUUGUGAUUGUGGGAGCCAUCUUCAACCUUCUUCUUGCCAUUGAUAUUCUUUGGAGGGGAGAUUAGAGCCGUUUGAAGGGAGUUGUGAGAUCUUUCGAGAUUUCAAGGCUUCUUAGGACUUAUCUUUUAAUUUCUUAUUGUCAAUUCUUUCUUUAUUUCUGCUUGUGCUGAAUCUUUAUCUAAUUUAUUUUCUGUCCUUAUUGUGUUUUCAGCCUUUUUCUAUCUUAAGGAAUUAGCCCAAAAAUCCCCAAUUUCUAGGGUUCUUGCCGAUUCAUCCAUACUCUUUUUGGGAGAAAUUAGAUUGCCGAAAUUUGGGGAAAACUAUCUGGGUGUUCAAUUGGGCAGAAUCGCAAUCUCUUCUAGGGUUUCAAGAUUCCUUAUUAACACUUAUUUCUAUUCUCAAUUUGAUUCUUUGCUGAUUUGGAGAUUUUAUUUCAAAUCUGAAAAUUCAAAAAUCUAAUCUUUUAAUUUUCUGUUUCGUUUCAGAUCUAAUUGUUUAGGGUUUUCAUAGGAGUUUCCCGUGACUUGGCAACUCGAUCUUGGUCCGCGCGCAACCCCGUAUCAUUUGGUAUCAGAUUUUGGGCGUUUUGGGUGUUCUUGGUUGAUUUCUAAACUGAUCUCUAUUUUUUUUAAAGCACAAACAGCAGUUUUACCCAGAAAAAUUGUUCAAAAAAAAUUCAUUUGAGUGGGUAAACGUUGUCCGAUUGAUCUGAAAUUUUACAUACAUGUUUUUGGCACUGUGAUUGAAUAUAAAAAAAAGUAUUCCCGCAAAAAAAUCAGUCAAAAAAGUCAAAAUAAUAAAAAAAGACGAAAUUCAAUAAAAAUUUAAAAAAAAAGAUUCAGCGGGUUGAAUUUGGUGCCCAAAAUUUCCAGAUCAAAAAUUCAAUAUGUAAGGACACUCCAGAUUUAAUUUCGUGAUUUUUGGAGAUCGGGAACACCUCGAACGAAGUUGUCAAGUUACUCCGCAGUUUUUCGGGUUUUCUGUUUUCAGCAAUUUUUAUUGAUUCUUAGCUGUAGGUUUUCAUUUGUUUACCUUUAUUCUUCCUUUACGUUAUCUAACACCUUCUUGGUUCUUGUGUUAGUAGGAUUUAAACGUGUGCACUUCUUCCUCGGUGCAACACGAAUCAAUUGGUGUCUCGUCAGUUUUUGGCAUCCUAGUGCAAAUUAGGAUUCUUUGGUAGUUUGGUUCACACUCUCUAAUUGGUUGAUAUAAACUCUGAUAAAGAACUCACAAGAUUGAAUUCGACCUCAUUGAGAAUUUGAUUUUUUCUUUUUGAGUGAUUAACGGUGAGGUUUGAUAACUUUUAUUUUUGAGUGUUGAGUGUUUUGCAGGUUUUAAAAAAAAUGUCUACAGGUGAUAAUAAUAGUGACAUAUUUAAAAAAUUUCAACAACAGUUGGAUGAACAGGCUGCUGCUCUUCGAGCUUUGACUGCUACCAUCAAUGAGGUGCAAUUGAAUCAAGAACCUCAAUAUCGAGAUCCAAUCAAAGAAGAUAGGGAUAACCAACCCCAGAGGCGCGGCCCUCGACGUGUCCUUAGAAUGGAUGAUGAUUUUCAUGAUCGUGGACAAUCCUCUUUGGCAAAACCAAAGAGCGAGCAGCAACGAGAACAUCUCUUUCAUACUCGCUGCCAUGUACAAGGUAAGCUUUAUAGAGUUAUUAUUGAUGGUGAAAGUUGCUCGAACAUAGCCAGCACGACGAUGGUGGAAAAGCUUUGCUUAACCACUACCAAGCAUCCACAACCUUAUCCACUACAAGGGCUUAGCAACGAAGGCCAAUUUAGGGUCACUCAACAAGUGCGCAUUGCCUUUUCUAUCGGUAAGUAUCAAGACGAAGUUGUGUGCGACGUAAUGCCUAUUCAAGCCUGCCAUUUGUUGCUAGGAGAACCAUGGCAACUGGAUCGAAAAGUCACUCACGAUGGUCGUACCAAUAGGUAUUCUUUCAAGCAUCAAGGAAAGAAACUCACCUUAGUGCCGCUCACUCCGGAACAAGUCCAUGAGGACCAAAUCAAACUGAGAAAUUCUGUUAAAACAAGUGAGGAAAAAGAAAAAGAGAAUGAAAAAGAGCAAAAAGAGAUUGAGAGUGAAAAGGAAUGUGAAACAGAAAAGAAAAUUGAAAAAGAAGUUGAAGAAAGAAGAGAAAAUGAAUUAGAAAAAGAAACAAAAGAAAAAGACGUGGAAAGGGUAGUGAGGAAUGUUUCCACUAACCAAGAUAUGAAUUUUUCUUGUAUUGCUACUUUUCAGGUUCCUGAAAGAUCAAAAGAUAACUUUCAACUUCAAUACCUCUCAAAUGAAAGACGCUUUCAUACGAUCAACUUAGGCAAAGAUGAAAUCACACUACAUGAUCCCGAAGGUAAGCGAGGUAAGGAAAUUUUAGAAACCGAGUCCAGUGCAGAUUUGAAAAUUAUUGAUAAAACUUUUGGUGACUUAGUUCUUAAAAGAUCCCCUCAUUUUGAUCCGAUUAAUUGUUACUCUUCGAUUGUGGUUGAUAAAGUCAUUACGAAAAGAAGCGUGAUUUGUUAUUCUCUUAAUUUACCUUGUGUAAAAUCUUCGAAUUUGUCCAAAUCUGUUUUGGAGAAUAAGGUAACGAAAUUUUCCAAAUUUGUUUUCAAUUUAUAUUCGUGCCUUAAACAGUUUAUGUGGUUGUACAUGAAGUUUGAGUUCCAUUUGACAAAGGUUAACUCAACAACGGAGAUUCGACUACACUAUGCCCCCGAUGAGCGAAGGUUUGUUUUAAAUGAAAAAGGUAAAAUCGACCCUUAUUCUUCUGCUUAUCGAGGUAAGAUGCUUGAAACCUUUGAAACACUUUUGUACUCCUCGGAUAGUGAUAAAGAUCGUGUUGAUGAACACUUAGAUCGAAACGUGCUUGACUGUCCUAUUUUAUUUAUUGAUGAUCUAUCUGUUUUGAUGGUUGAUAAAAAGAUUCUUGUUUUUGAUAAUGCAUGUGUGAGUGAAUCUAUAGACCGUCGAUUAAUGCAUGGUAUGAUUAUGCAACUCUGUGAACCAUGUGAAUCUUUUCAAAUACCUACUUGUGACGAUUAUGUUUACCAUUUGAUUUAUUACUCGCAAUUUAUUCAUGGUUUGUGGGAACAAUGUGAGACGACUGAAUGCCUUAAAACAUGUCCAUCUUUGUUUCAAAUAUUUGACGAGGCAGUGGUGAGUAAAUUAGAUUGUUUGCAUGGUAAUCUGAAUCUGUCCAUUCACAUGCGUUAUACCUGUUCUGUUAUGCUUAUGAUUGGACUACAAGCUUGUUUCCGUUGCUAUUUACUAUCUCAUGGCUAUUCUUUUCAGUGGACUCAAUUGCCAUUAGUCCCGUUCGAUAGAGGAAAGUCGAGUUCAUUUGAUUUUUCAGAUUCGAGGACGAAUCUUUUUGAGGAAGGGGGGAAUGAUACGAUUCACAAAAGCCCAAAUUCUUGAAGGCGAGGCCCAGUAAGCAAAUUCCCAGCCCAAUCAAGAAAUCCAUCCAUACUUAGUUGAAAAUCAGGCCAAAUUGUCAAAGUGGCCCAAGUUGUAAAGUUUUAUUUUUAUUUUUAUUUAUUUAUUUAUUUAUUUACUUAGUUUAAAUUUUUAUGUCAAUAUUCAGUCCAAGAGUCCCAGAUAAAAUGACCUUUGACCGAAUUUCCAUAUUAAAAUAAUUAGAAGUUUUUUUAAUUUUAGUUUUCUAAUUAGAUUAGGACUAGUUAUAAGGCCUAUUUAAAGGCAUGGCUGUCCACCUUGUUAAACACUUAUCAUUAUUAUUAAAAUUUCAGAUUUGUUGAGAGUAGAAUUUUCUUUGAGUUUUCUCCAAGAUUUCUCUCUUGAGUUUUCUUUAGAAGUUGUUUUAACAAUCUUGUGAUUGUGGGAGCCAUCUUCAACCUUCUUCUUGCCAUUGAUAUUCUUUGGAGGGGAGAUUAGAGCCGUUUGAAGGGAGUUGUGAGAUCUUUCGAGAUUUCAAGGCUUCUUAGGACUUAUCUUUUAAUUUCUUAUUGUCAAUUCUUUCUUUAUUUCUGCUUGUGCUGAAUCUUUAUCUAAUUUAUUUUCUGUCCUUAUUGUGUUUUCAGCCUUUUUCUAUCUUAAGGAAUUAGCCCAAAAAUCCCCAAUUUCUAGGGUUCUUGCCGAUUCAUCCAUACUCUUUUUGGGAGAAAUUAGAUUGCCGAAAUUUGGGGAAAACUAUCUGGGUGUUCAAUUGGGCAGAAUCGCAAUCUCUUCUAGGGUUUCAAGAUUCCUUAUUAACACUUAUUUCUAUUCUCAAUUUGAUUCUUUGCUGAUUUGGAGAUUUUAUUUCAAAUCUGAAAAUUCAAAAAUCUAAUCUUUUAAUUUUCUGUUUCGUUUCAGAUCUAAUUGUUUAGGGUUUUCAUAGGAGUUUCCCGUGACUUGGCAACUCGAUCUUGGUCCGCGCGCAACCCCGUAUCACGUACGAAAUAGGAUAGGAGGAAACCUCACAAUCAAGUUUUCAAUAAUCAAAUUCUGUUAAACAAAAAUAAACAACAUUCUCCACAAUCAAAAAUUUGAUUUUGUCUUAACAAGCCAACAAGAUUCACACGUCUCGUUUUCAAACUUAGUGACAAAGCAUCAUACAAGCAACGAUUGUUUACUUGGUCAUUCAAACAAAAUUUACAAUGCUUGCCUUCUCUCAAAGAUGAACCAGAAUAGCGAACUCCAGGGUUGAACACACGAUAUUGUUCACUCGUUCCAAAAUGCAGUGUGAAUUUCUUAAUUACCAACAAUUCACACAAGUGGAACAAAAAGAAGUUGAGCAUGCAUAUGUUCAAAUAUUCAUACAUCGUAAAUCUCAUUCGAAUAGACUUGUUCAAACAUGGGGGAUUUACGCAAAAAAAUAGAAAAUUCAACUUAUCACCACACACAAGUAGACUAGGCGUUUCACAUGCCAACUUUUUAUCACAAGAGUUCAAAAUUUAUUUGUGCGGAUUUAUUCAUACUUCAGUAAAAUUCUUGCCAAUACCAUACUCAUCAAUAGGAAAACACUUCUUACCACUAUGGAAGGUGUAAUCACCAUCAUUCAGAAUAUGAUAAUCAAACAAAUUGAACUUUGUAUGUGAAUAAUCUUUAUCGCACACUAUCACACUUUGUUCAUGCUGAUCUAAUCGAACGCCUUCAAUAAAAUUGCCAGCAACAAACUUAUCAUAGAAAAAACUUUUCAAAGCACUAGUUGAAACAAAAUCAUAAAUAAUAGAUGAACGAAAAUUAACCAAUUCAAUGGGGAAAACCCUUUCGCAAAAAUAAUUUUCAGCAAUCUUGUCAUAAACAUGUGAGUAAAUGAGUUGAAACUCGCUCAACAAGGAACCCUUACCUUGCUUACCAUUGGAAAUGUGACAAUCAUUUUUAUCUUCCAACUUACCUCUUUCAAUCAAUUGAAAACGUCUCUCGGUAGAAAGGUAAUGAAGUUGGAACCAAUCCGUGGAUGGAAUCUUGCAAACCUGAAACAAAGAAAAAUCACAAGGUAAUUUCGAAAGGGGGUUAGCAAAAGAAUUCCUCUCUUUUUCGUGAUUACUCACUUCACUCGUUUCUUUUACAGACUCUCUUUCUUUUUCACUUGAUUUCUUUUCAAGCUCUCUUUCAAUUUCUUUUUUCGCUUUUUCUUUUUCAAUUUUCUUUUCUUCAUUUUCUUUUUCUCUCACUUUUUUUGAUUUCUUUUUCUUUUGCAAUUUCUUUUUCUUUUUCAUUUUUUUUUGUUUUCUUUCAAUUUCUUUUUCAAUCUCUUUCUCCUUUUCUCGCUCAAUGGAUUGCUUCAUUUUGAAUUGGUCUUCUUGCACUUGUUCCGGUGUGAGCGGCGCUAAAGUGAUUUUUCUUCCUUGAUGCUUGAAGGAAUACCUAUUGGUACGUUCAUCGUGAAUGAUCUUGCGAUCCGAUUGCCAUGGUUCUCCUAGCAACAAAUGGCAGACUUGAAUAGGCACAACAUCACAAAGGACUUCGUCUUGGUAUCUUCCGAUGGAAAAUGCAACACGCACUUGUUGAGUAACUUCAAAUUUGCCUUCAACACCAAGUCCUUGCAGUUGAUAGGGUCGUGGAUGCUUGGUAGUGGCCAAGCCAAGUUUUUUUACCGUUCGAAUACUAGCCAUGUUUGACCUACUUCCACCAUCAAUAAUGAGGCAACAAACUUUAUCGUGGACACGGCAACGCGUGUGAAACAUAUCUUCACAUUGUGGUUCAUUUUCCAAUCUUUGAAGGAUUGCACUAAUCUUGAUGUCAACGAUAGUAGAUGUCAAAUCUUCUUUAUCUUUGUCGAAUUGUCGAAAUUCAGAUCGCAUUAUCCUUUGCAUUUCUUGUCUCCACAUUUGGAAUUCAAAUUCAGAAAAUUCUUCAGACAUGCUUCAACAAAAUAUUAGAAAACAAAAGUUAAAUUAGAAAGAAAAAUAAUUCUCACCACAAAUCUCUCAAGUUAGCUCAUUCGUGCUCAAGUCAGCUCAUUCAAGCUCAAUUUAACUCGUUGAGCUCGUUAUUAGCUCUUUAGCUCUUUUAAUUUAAUUUGCCGGAAUAAAUUAAUUAGUUGAGUUAGUUAUUUUAGCUCAAAUAAUUACUAAGUGUUUAAUUAAGAAAUCUGGACAUUUUAAUUAUGUUUGUUUAUUGCAUGUUUAAUUUGUUUUAAUUAUUACCUAGCAUAAAUGUGUUUGCCUUAUUACAAUUAUUUAAUGUGUCUUAUUGCUGAUUUAUUAUGCCUAAGCUGUUAUUUAAUGUUCAGCCGAAUUUAAUUAACUUGUCUAGGAUGCUGAAUUAAAUGUGUCUUAGUUGCCGAAUUUAUUGAUGUUUUUCAUUAGUUUCAGCCGAAUUUAUGAGCACAUUUAUUGAUCAAAUUGCUGCCAAUUUAAUUUGUCUUAAGAUGCUGAUUUUUAAUGAGCAGAUAUUAAUGACCGAAUUUAAUUAUUUGGCUGCAGGUUUAAUGGCUUGGACGGCAAUUUAAGGAAGUGGAUGUUGGCCGAAUUUAAUGUACAGCAAGACAUGCAUUAAAGAUGCUGUUCUACAUGCAAGGAACAGCAUUAAAGGAGUUGUUUGUGCUUUUUCAUGUGGCCAUUUAAUGGACAAAAUUAAAGAAGCUGCUUGCUGAUUUAAUGUGCAGCAAAGACAUGAAUUAAAUGAGAUGUUCCCAUGUAUGGAACGGCAUUUAAAGGGAAGCAAAACAUGAAUUAAAUGAGAUAUUCACCAUGCAUGGACAGCAUUAAUGAAAGCAUGCAAGGGGGGACGUUAUUGAACAGCAUUAAAGCUGGUAUUGCUUCGGGUACAGCAAAGAGCUAUUGUUUGGGGAAUUUCCAAGUGACCAUUCAGCCAAAGCAUGUAUAUUGCUUAAUUAUUCAAGGCUGAACGUUUCAUGCUUCCAAGGAGCAUUAAAGGCUGUUUUCAGGUUCCAAAGCUGAUGCUUAUUACUGUCUUGAACACACCAAAGGACUUGCAAAUUUAGUCCAGCUCAUUUAAGUUGAUUGAAAGUAUUUAGGAGCUAUUUGUGUGCUCAAGAUGUCAUUUAAAGCUGCUGCUGGCCAUCCGAAUUUCCAAGGCUGAUUAUUGAAGGACAUUAAAGAUUGUUGAUGCCAUUGCCGUCCCCAAGGUCUAGGAUUCUUCAAAGGAGACAUGCAUUUAAGGGCUACCGUUUCACUCUUCAAAGCUCCUUGGAAAACGCCACUAGUGGCUUUGUACACUCCCUUGGCCGAACCUGGCAUACCUUUUUCAAUUCAAGGCUCCUCGUGCGCAUCAAAGACACCUUUCAAGGCUAUUCGUGUAGCUCAAUGGUCAGCCAAGCAUUGAAGACGUUCCAUGAAUGUUUUCAGCUGAGUUAACACUAUCUAGAAGCUGUCCAUUUAUCUACCUUUUGUGACCAUUCGGUUUGACAUUCAAUAUUAGUAUAAAUAGUUGUUUUGUAAUCAUUUUUUUGGUUAGACAAUAUACUUUUAAACUUUAUAUGAAAUCUGAUUACUUUGUGAGUUUGUUUUCAACUCUCAUUGUUCUCCAAAGACUUGUCUGACUUAUCAAGUAACCCUUGUGGCGUCAACCCAUCUUUCUAUCCGAACUUAUCACUUUAAUCCCGAAAGUGUGGUGUUUGAUUCGUACUGAGGUUCCUAUCAUUUUUGAUAGCGGGUCGAAGUUUCUAUCCACGUAACAAACCUUCCAUUGACACCUUACCAACCUAAGCAUUCUCAUAAGUUACGGGUUAACACACUACUAUUGUGUUAGUUCAGCUUUUGAAUCCUUAGCCAAAUUACAUCCAUUGUCUUCUAAUUCAUUUCCUAAACCAACAAAACUCUUUUGAGCCUAAAUAAUUCCUUUUCUUCUAGCCUAUUUUGUAAAGCUUUCAAAUUACUCCAAUUCACGAUCGGGCACAUCUACGACUUGACUCUCCUUCCCGAGCCGAGGCGUAUCAGGAUCCAAUUAUAGCUUGUGUAAUCAAUUUAAGAUGUAUGCAUGCUUAGAAAUCUAUUCGAUUUUGCUUCGAACAUUUCUCAUGGCCUUGUCGAGUAAACUAGUUCGCUUGCAUGGUAAUCUGAAUCUUUCCAAUAGCCUGCAAUACAUUUGUCUUGUUAUACUCGAAUUGAAAAUUUGUUUGCACUACUUUUUGCUAAAUCAUGGAUAUUUUUUUCAGUUGCUUCAAUUGCCAUUCGUUCCAUUUGAUCGAGGAAAGAUGAGUAAGCAGAGUUAUGAUCGAAUGAACCAACGGCUCGACUUGAGGACAAGUCAUUCUAAAGAAGGGGGAAUGAUACGACCCUGCCCUGGAAACAUCCUUGGUCUCUUCCCACAAGCGAGGCUCGUCAUUUUCACAAGCUCGUCCCAGUUCAAUUCGGGUGGAUUCUAGCUCAUUGAGCUAGAAUGCAAUUUAUUUAAUUAAGUUUGCAUUUUAUUUUGCUGGAAUAAACUUAGUUAAUUAAAUAAGUUAGUUAAUUUAAUUAAGUUCAGCUCAACAUAAAUUAACUUGCAUUUUAAUGAGUCAAAUUCUGGACAUAUUAAUUGAGUUUAAAUGUGUCUUAGUUCAUACAUAGUUAUUAGCUAAUUUUAAUAUGUUAAGUCUUGGACAAAUUUAUUAGCUACUGAUAUUUAAUAUGUCCAGCCGAAAUUAGACAUUGGUUUAAUUAGCUGCUGCUAUUUAAUUUGUCCAGCUGAAUUAAUUGUGUCUUAACUUAAAUAAAUGUGUCUAAAUGUUAAUUAAUGUGUUUUACUUCUUUAAUUUAAUGCGUCUUCCUGCUGCAGAAUUUUAAUGUUUCUUGAAUUUUUGUCCAGCCUAAAUUUAAAGAGCAUUUAAUUUUGCAGGAUUAAUUUCUUGCUGCCGAAUUUAAUGAGUCCACAAUGGAAUUAAUUUGUUGAUCCAAUUCAUGCAGGUACAAGUCAUGGACGGCAUUAAAGAGAAGGUUGCUGCUGCACCUUUUCAAGCUACCGAAUUUAAUAUGUUUGCUUGACAUGGGACAACAUUUAAGUUGCUAUUGCAUUUUUCUCUCCAUGCAAAGAACGGCACUAAAUGAACUGUUGACUUAGUUCUUUUCUAAACACCUUUUUCGUGCACAGCAAAGGAUACAUGAAUGUGGAGUUGUAUUCAAGAUGAAUUUAGGCUGUUGAUUGCUAUUCUCCAAGCACCUUUUCGUGGAGACAAAGAACUUGACUGUUCACAUUAAAUCUGGCCGCCCAUUCCAUUUUCCCAAGUAGAACAUGCAUUCAAUCAUGCAUGUAUUUUGAAGAUUGAAUUAAGGAGGCUGCUGAACAUGCAUUUGUUGAUCCAAUGAACACAUUUAAUGAAGAGCAUGAAUUCGGCUAUGCAUGUAUUUUGAAGCAAGAUGUGCAUGCAUGUGGCAACAACUAGGAGCUUUAAUUUCCAGCCUUAAUUUCAUUCAGCCGAACCUUGCUAUGGUAGUUUAAUGAUUUUUAUUUAUUUAUUUAUUUAUUUACUUAGUUUUUAAGUUAGAUAUUGACUAUUCAGCUAGCCUAAGCUUUGGCUAUAAAUUGUUGAUUAAUUUCAUUUGUAAAGGACUUUUGACUUUUGAUCAUUUGAAUGAACUUUAUUCAAAGAGUGAGUUUUCUCAUCUCUAAAUUUGUACGAGUUUCGAUCUGACUUAUCUAGCGUGCUAGUGGCGUCUAUCGUUCUCCUUUGAACUUAUCACCUUGCUUUGGUGUGGCGUUCAACCUUUCUACAAUUCCGUAAUCCCACCUUGAACUGAAUAGAAAUCGGGGUGACACUUUUUAGUGUUGAAUCGUUUCUGGUGUUUAAGCUCAUUUAUCCAUUCCACCAACUAUCCUAGAUUUUACCCAACUAUAAUAUCUUUUUACAAAACCGAGCAUUCAUUUUUCCAACUUCCAUUUUUCUUAUUUUUAUCCUUAAAUCGAGCCUACUACUCCUUAUAAAUUUACCAUCACCUUAGCCAACCUUAAAAACCAUUUGAAAGCUUCCGCAUCUUUAGCCUUAUUUCAUCCUAUUUCCGAUAACUCAACUAUUCCUCGUCGACGAUCGGGCAAUUACGUGAAACGACUCGAUUAACCCGGGCCGGAUCACAUCAAAACAGCCAAGAACCAAAGAACAAAUGAAUAGAUGCUUUUGGAGUUCAAGAAGACGAAAUCGAACUCCAAGAUUGUUUUCCCACAAGCCGAAUCUGCCCAAGAACAAACCGACAAGAAAAACCCCAAAUUCUAGCAACUUGAUUUCCCCAAAUUCAGAAUGUAUUAAUCGACAAGAACCCUAGGAUUUAGGGAUUUUGAUUCGAAACUUUACUGCCCAAAAGUAGACCGAUUAAAUGGAAGGAUCUUGGAGUUAAACAAAGUUGAAACAUAAGCAAGAACAGCAAAAAGAUUAGAUAAUGAAUCGGCACAAGUAGGAAUAAAGAAACAAAUCGAAACAGUAAGAAAUAAAGAAAAGUCCUAAGAACCCUUGAAUUCCCGAAAGAAUUCACAAAUUCCUUCAAACGGCUCUAAUCUCCCCUCUAAAGAAUAUCGAUGGCAAGAAGAAGGUUGAAGAUGGCUCCUACAAUCAAAAGAUUGUUAAAACAACUUCUAAGGAAAACUCAAGAGAGAAAUCUUGGAGAAAACUCAAAGAAAAUUCUGCUCUCAACAAAUCUGAAAUUUAAGAAUAAAUCUAAGUGUUAUGUACAAGGGGUGGCCGGCCAUGCCUUUAAAUAGGCCUCAAGUAAUCCUAAUCUAACAAGUAACUAAUAAAAUUAAACCUAAUUAAUAGAAUAAAAUAAAGGAAAAUUCGGCCAAGCAUAUAUAUGGACUGUUUUUGGGCCAAAUUUUACAUGUAUGUUCCUAAAGCUUAAAAAAUUAAAUUAAACAAUUAAAAUGUUUAUAAAUUGGGCCCUUUGACAUUUUGGCCUGAUUUUCAACUAAGUAUGAAGGAAUUUCUUGAUUGGGCUGGAAUUUUGUUAUUGGGCCUCGCCUUCAAGAAUUUGGGCUCGUGAUCCAUCUCCUUCUGAAAUUGGGUCGUUGAUGCUCGUAACGGAGAUCCAAUGCGUGUUGGCUGCAAGAUUUGGUUUCUUGGACCAAGAUUUCCAAGAUUUGAAAUCUUGAUUUUCUUGAUUCUUGAAAUCUCUUCGAAUAGCAUAAUUGGGCCAAGAUUCGGUUUCUUGAUUUUCUUGAAAAUAAGAAAGUGAAUCUUGAUUUUCUUGUUCUCUCGUGUAUGCAUCUAAGGCCUUGUUAACAAACUCUUGAAUGGUCCCAUUUAGUUUGGACCGCAUUUGUCGGGCCUUUGAUCUCGUUAUUGGGCCUUGUGGCAAUUUGAGCCCAUCACUUUCUUGAACUUGGGUUGGGCCUUUAUGACUCGUAUCAUUCCCCUCUUCCUCAAAAAGAUUCAUCCUCGAAUCUAAAAAAUCAAAUGGGGACAAGUCAGCCACAUUAAAAGUAGAAAUUACAUUGUACUCACCAGGUAGAUCAAUUUUAUAGGCGUUGUCGUUGAUCUUCUCGAGUACUUGGAAAGGCCCAUCGCCCCUUGGGUCCAACUUAGUCUUCCUUUUUGUAGGAAAUCGUUCUUUCCUCAAAUGAACCCAAACCCAAUCUGAUACGGAGGUGCGCGCGGACCAAGAUCGAGUUACCAAGUCACGAGAAACUCCUACGAAAGAUCCUAGAUGAACAGAUCUGCAAUCAAAAACAAAGAUUAAGAUUAAACCGAAUCAGAUUUGAAUUUAAAUCCCCAAAUUCGAUUAAAGGAGCAGCAAGAAACAAAGAAAUAGAAUAGAUGAAUCAAAUAAAAUUGGAAGUAUAGAAAGAUUACGAAUCGGUCAACAAAUUGAUUCGGCCAAGAAUGCCCAAUUUCCAGCAUUCAAUUGAUUCCCAAAUUGAAAAAAUCCAAUCGGCCAAACCCUAGGAAUUGGGGAUUUUUGGGUUCGAAUGGGUGCUGCCAAUAGGAGAACAACUUAAACGAUGAGAUCUUGAGUUUAAUCAAUGCUGGAAAACAAACAAGAACAGCAAAAUAUUAGAUGAGAAAUCGGCACAACUAUAAGCAAAGAAAAGUAAAGAAAGAAAUCGAAAACAACAAGAACUAAAGUGAUGUGAUCUCAAUCGCAUCAUGUUGUGGCACCACUCGUUGCUAUCAUGAUUGGCCUAAAACACGAGGGCCCCAAGUGCAAGAUGAAGCUCAAUCUCAGCUCAACAAGCUCAAUCUUAGUUUUUCCCAGCUCGAUUUAGCUCACAUGAGCUUAAUUUAGCUCGUUUGAGCUCAAUUUAGCUUACUUUAGCUCGUUUGAGCUUGGCUUAAGUUUAUUUCAACUCAUUUAUUUUAAUGUCUGAAUAAAUUAAGUAAUUUAUUAAUUUAGCUUAAAUUACUACAACUCAAAAUUAUGUUUUGACUUAUUACAUGUUUUAAAUGUGUCUUGGCUGAAUUUAAUUGGAAGAUUAGGGAUUUGGGCGGCAAAAAAAAAGAAAAGAAAGAAAUAGGUGAAAUUGAACAGUUCAAGAAGUGAAUUUAAGUUGCGAUUCGGUCCAAUUGAACACCCAAUAUGAAUUGCCCAAAUUUCAGCAGCCGAAUUUCACCCAACAAGAAGAAAUAGAAAGCGGCAAGAACCCUAAAUUUUGGGGAAUUUUGAGUCGAUUAUAUGUUGCCAAUAAAAGAACCGAUUAAAUGAAGAGUUCUUGGAGUUUGAAUCAAGGCUGAAACACAAACAAGAACAGCAAAAUAUUAGAUGAUGAAUCGGCACAAGUAUGAAUAAAGAAACAAAUCGAAACAGCAAGAAAUAAAGAAAAGUCCUAAGAACCCUUGAAUUCCUGAAAGAAUUCACAAAUUCCUUCAAACGGCUCUAAUCUCCCCUCCAAAGAAUAUCGAUGGCAAGAAGAAGGUUGAAGAUGGCUCCCACAAUCAAAAGAUUGUUAAAACAACUUCUAAAGAAAACUCAAGAGAGAAUUCUUGGAGAAAACCCCAAAGAAAAUUCUGCACUCAACAAAUCUGAAAUUUGAUAGAAAAAAAUAAUAAGAAGAUGUGUUUACAAAGGGUGGUUGGCCAAUGCUUAUAUAGGCCUCCAACAAAUCCUAAUCUCACAAGUAACUAAUAAAAAUUAAACCUAAUUAAUAAAAUAACAAGGUAAAUUCGGCCAUGCACUUAUAUGGGCUGUUUUGGGCCGAAUUUUACAUGUAAUGCUCCUAAAGAUUAAAAAAUUAAAUUAAACAAGUAGGAUGUUUUCGAAUUGGGCCCUUUGACAUUUUGGCCUGAUUUUCAACUAAGUAUGAAGAAAAUUCUUGAUUGGGCUGGAUUUUGGUUAUUGGGCCUCGCCUUCAAGAAUUUGGGCUCGUGAUCCAUCUCCUACCAAAAUUGGGUCGUUGACGCUCGUAAUGGAGAUCCAAUGCAAUUUGGCUGCAAGAUUUGGUUUCUUGGACCAAGAUUUCCAAGAUUUGAAAUCUUGAUUUUCUUGAUUCUUGAAAUCUCUUCGAACAGCAAAAUUGGGCCAAUAUUCAGUUUCUUGAUUUUCUUGAAAACAAGAAAGUGAAUCUUGAUUUUCUUGUUCUCUCGUGUAUGCAUCUAAGGCCUUGCUAACAAGUUCUUGAAUGGUCCCAUUUAGUUUGGACCGCAUUUGUCGGGCCUUUGAUCUUGUUAUUGGGCCUUGUGGCAAUUUGAGCCCAUCACGUUCUUGAACUUGGAUUGGGCCUUUAUGACUCGUAUCAUUCCCCCCUUCCUCAAAAAGAUUCGUCCUCGAAUCUGAAAAAUCAAAUGGGGACAAGUCAGCCACAUUAAAAGUAGAACUUACAUUGUACUCACCAGGUAGAUCAAUUUUAUAGGCAUUAUCGUUGAUCCGCUCGAGUACUUGGAAAGGUCCAUCACCCUUUGGGUCCAAAAUAGUCUUCCUUUUUGUANNNNNNNNNNNNNNNNNNNNNNNNNNNNNNNNNNNNNNNNNNNNNNNNNNNNNNNNNNNNNNNNNNNNNNNNNNNNNNNNNNNNNNNNNNNNNNNNNNNNNNNNNNNNNNNNNNNNNNNNNNNNNNNNNNNNNNNNNNNNNNNNNNNNNNNNNNNNNNNNNNNNNNNNNNNNNNNNNNNNNNNNNNNNNNNNNNNNNNNNNNNNNNNNNNNNNNNNNNNNNNNNNNNNNNNNNNNNNNNNNNNNNNNNNNNNNNNNNNNNNNNNNNNNNNNNNNNNNNNNNNNNNNNNNNNNNNNNNNNNNNNNNNNNNNNNNNNNNNNNNNNNNNNNNNNNNNNNNNNNNNNNNNNNNNNNNNNNNNNNNNNNNNNNNNNNNNNNNNNNNNNNNNNNNNNNNNNNNNNNNNNNNNNNNNNNNNNNNNNNNNNNNNNNNNNNNNNNNNNNNNNNNNNNNNNNNNNNNNNNNNNNNNNNNNNNNNNNNNNNNNNNNNNNNNNNNNNNNNNNAAAAAAAAAUUCAAAAAAAAAUUGGUUUCCAUUCAAACUCAAGAGAUUGGAUAUCAAGUUGAAAAAAAAAUUCGUGAAAAAAAAAUUCGUGAAAAAAAAGAAGAAGCUAGUUUUGAAAUUUUAUUGUUGUUUGCUGCCCAAAUUAUAGUUAUUACUACCAUCUACUAUUUCGCCACAUCCAACCUUUCAUUUCUUGAUUCAAGCCUACUUUCCUUUGUCCUACAAUAUUCUUACCAAGCCCAAACAUCAAGGUUGUAAGCUGACCCACAACAACUGCUUUUUAAGUUUAAAUAAUUCCUAAGAACUUAGAGAGGAGGAGUGAGUGGAAAGAGGCAAGAGAGUGGUGAGUUUAUUCGAGAGUAUAAAAGCCAAGUGUGUGAGAUUUCUUUGUGAGUGGAUAGUGAGAUUCUUUGUUGUAAGUUCUUAAAAAAUGUCACGAAGUUUGGAAAAAAAAUCAGACAAGGGAGUUGGAUUCCGUCCUGUAAGAAUUGUUGGAGGAAGUGUGCCAGAUUUUACACUCCAAGCCUUUACGCAUGAAAUGGAGCAUCUAUUUGAUCGAAAACUCAAACCCAUCAAGAAACGAUUGGAUCGUGUCGAAGAGCGGAGUCAUCGAGCAAGAACCCAACGGGAGCAAAUUUAUCCAAAUGGAAGGACAGAAAUGAGAUCAUCAAGGAGACGAACAUUCGACGAAUAUGUGAAAAGAGACCUUUAUCCAGAUUCCUAUUCUUCAAGGAAUUUAGGCCGAAAUAAAUCCAGCUAUGAGUUUGAAGCCUAUCAAGGUAACGAACGAGAAAGUACAAGUCAUUCUUCGUAUGCAUCAAAGUAUUCAUCUACGGAAAAAUCCUUACGAAGAAGUGAAUGUGCUUCGUAUAAGAACUCAUCCAUGGAGGUUUAUUCACGAAGAGUUGAUCGUGACUCUUAUGAAGAUUCUUCCAUUUCUUUCCAAGGAAAAGUCUAUUGUUUUGAUUUUUUUUGUAUUAUCUCCAUUUUGUAAUAAAGUUGAGAGAAGAAAAAGAGAGACGAGAGAAAAAGAAAUCGAAAAAGAAACAAAAAUUGAAAAAGAGAAAAAGAUUGGAGAAAGAAAAGAAAGAGUGCGAGAAACAAGUGUUGUUGAAAAUGAAAGAGAAUUGAUGAGUAAAAGUGAGUUUUCAACAAACAAAGAGAUUGUGGAAAAAGAAAGAGAAGUUGAAAAAGAAACGAGUGGAAAAGAUGAAAGUCAACAAGAAAAAGCGAGGAAUGUUUUUACUAACCAAUCUGCAAGUUGUCCUCAUAUUGUUUCUUCUUUCCAGGUUUCUAGAGAUUCAAAUGACAAGUUUCAACUUCAUUACCUUCCUGAUGAGAGACGAUUCCAUUUGAUCGAAAAAGGUAAGGUUCAAGCGCUUAAAGGUAAGCAAGGUAAGAAGUUUUUAGUCAAUGAAUCAUGGCAAUCAGGUUUGAAAGUUGUUGAUAAAAUUUUCGAUAACUUAGUUUUAAAAAGAUCUCUUUAUUUUGAUUUGGUUAAUUGUUACUCGCUAUUUGUGGUUGAUAAAUUCGUUUUAAGUGGAGGCAUGAAGAGUUGUUCACUCAAUAAGUUUUAUGUUGAAAAAUCUUUUGAUGUUGUUCGAUUAAAUCCACAAAUACAAAAUCUGAUCAUGUUUGAUAAAGAGCUUUCAUGUGAAACGCUCAAUCUGUUUGAUCAUGAUGGUAAUGAAAAUUUUUUAACUCUUAGUGUGAGAUCUUCGUAUAUUUGCAUGAGAUUUGAGAGAUUUGAUUGUUUGAAUCUAUUUUUGCCUACAUCUUCUUUAUUUGGCAUGUGUGAUGUCUUGGUGAAAGUGAAGUUUUUGUUACGUUACGGAACGACCGAUCAAAACCAUGUUUUUAAACCCGGAGCCUGUAUUCCUAAGUUGACGUCAAGCGAAGGUGAGUAUCAAAAUUGUAUUUUGAAUCAAUGUGUUGACCCCUUCUAUUUGCUUCAAGUUUUAUCUUUAUUUAGUUCGAAAACCAAACAUGUGAAUUUCGUUGGCUUGCCAAGUCAAAAUCAAAUUUUUGAUUCUAGAGGUUGUUGUAUAUUGUUGCUUAAUGGAUUCGAACAUGUGUUGCAUGAUUUUAACUUUAAUGUGCUUCAAGUUCUUCAUAAGUUACUAGCCACAAAUUUUUCUGGUCAAACUGAAAUGGUGAACAAAAACUUUGUCUUUGAUCCCGGUGAAUGCUGUUCCAUAUCAUUGUUCAAGGGAUUUGGACCAUGGAAUUCUAAUUUUCGAAACUAUAAUCUUCAAAUAUCUUGUGAAUCAGGUUUGUUUCCAUUGAAGAAAAAGGUAAUACCAAUUUCUAUUUUUGAUCCCGGCAUUGAUUCAUAUGUUGUUCUUUUGAGUUUAUUUGCUCAAGUUGUGACUAAAAUCUUGAAAAGUUCUUUUGUGUUUAACCUUCAUUGUGUCACUAAUUUGUUUUAUUGUUUUGUAGGUGGCGUUGUUAGGUGGUACCCUCCUAAAGAGGGAAGGCAUGCAAAUAACCUACUUUCUUGUCGAGCCGUAUAUGAUUCACACGUUCUUGAAAGUGACUUUGUCAGGUUUAUGACCAACGAGGUUUGUGACCUUGAGAGGUUUGUCGCGAGCAAAUGACCCGAUUUGAGGACAAAUCAUUUUCAAGAGGGAGGGUAUGAUGCGAUCCCGGUCGCAUCAUGUUACGACACAACUCGAUGCUACCGAGAUUGGCCCAAACUCGAGGGGCCCAAGUGCAAAAUGAAGUUUUUAAUUUCAGUUUGUCAAUUUGGUAGCUGGAAAAUAAGGACUUUGGUUCAUUAAUUUUUAGUUAUUUUAGUUUGUGUUUUUAAUUAUGUCAUAGUUUGCACAUCAUUAAUAUGUGUUCUACAUUUAAUAAGGUCAUGCAUUAUGUAACUUUCAUGUUAGUUAAGUUUGCAUCAUUAAAUUAAGUCAAGUUAGUUUAAUUAUGUAACUUUCAUGUUAGUUAAAUUUGCAUUUCAAAACCAUGCAUUUAAGCAUCUUAGUUUAAUAAAUGAGUUGCUGGACAUUUAUUCAACUCAUCUUAGUUUUAAUUAAUAAGUGCUUUUGUUGAACUUUAUUUAAUAAGUGUUGUUCUUAAUUAAUCUAGUUCCUAGGAUUAUUUAUUGAUGCAUGAGUUAAUCUAGUUCCUAGGAUUAUUUAUUGAUGCAUGAGUUAAGUUCAUUUAAUUAUGCUUCUUUAAUUAAACUAGUUGCUGGAAUAAUUAUUGCAUAUAUGUUUUAGUUCAUUUAUUUAAGUAAGUUUAAUGUUUGUUAUGAUUAAUAAGUGUUUUCAUUUGUUUAAUAAACUCAUUUUAAUGUGUUUAUUGCAGGUGACUUUUUAGCUUAUAGUGGUUACAAUUCAAGGCUGUUACACAUUUAAUUAAGUGGUUGUUCAAGUUCUUUUGAGUUACAAUUAAAGGGGCUGCUAUAAAGGGAGCUUAAAAUCAUUAAAGGAGUUUUUAAAGAGCAUUUUAUGCCCUUUAAAAUUCAGCAGCAACUCUUCCACUUCCAGCCGUUUUUGGAGCUUUCAAGAGAAAUUAAUCAAGCCUUUGAAUGUCAUUAAGGAGCUGGUUAAGAGAUGGUGACUAUUCAACUAGCCAAGGACAACUCAAGAGUCAUUGGACAACUCAAGAGUCAUUUUCUAAGCCAUUAAAGACAUUCAAAUCAGCUGAAUUAAAGUGAUUUUAUGGAAGGAGUUAUUUGGUUCAAAGAAUAAGAAAAGACAUCAGUUUUUAUGGCACAUUAAGCGGAUGUUUUUGACCAUUCGGUUACCUUGUUUUAGCAUUAUAAAUAGAUGUAAUCAGCCAUAGAGAAGGAGAACUUUUUGCUGAAUAUAGAUGAAAUAUUUGAAUUGUGAGCUAUCCAAUUCUCUUUGUUCUUACGGAAUUGAUUUGACUUAUCAAGCUUAGCUUGUGGCGUCUAUCCAUUUCUUGUUUUCGAACUUAUCACUUUCAUAGUGUGGCGUUCAUCAUAUACCAAGGUUCCUAUCAUUCUUGAUAGUGGGUCUAGGUCUUUUCUUUCUUGUUUUCCUAUACUGUCAUUCACCUAAGAGCUACUUUGAGUCUCAGGUCAACAACUUCUAUUGUUGGUUCAUUCUCAGCCUUUAGCCAAAUUUUUCCAUUCGUUGUUAAACCCAUUUCCCUUUUAAACGUUUGUUUGUAGCCUUUCUUUUAUCUUGAAACAAACUUAGCCUUACUCAAAUUCACGAUCGAGCAAACACUAACGACUCGAAUCAAUCACAAAACGAGUUCGUAUGAGUGUGCAAGAAAUACUUAUGGAGCUGACCGAAAAAUGUGCCCGAGGCAUGGUCGUAUCAAACUCCAAGAUCUUUCCAUUUAAUCGGUCUACUUUUGGGCAGUAAAGUUUCGAAUCAAAAUCCCUAAAUCCUAGGGUUCUUGUCGAUUAAUACAUUCUGAUUUUGGGGAAAUCAAUUUGCUAGAAUUUGGGGUUUUUCUUGUCGGUUUGUUCUUGGGAAGAUUCGGCUUGUGGGGUUUCACUAUUGGAGUUCGAUUUCAUCUCCUUGAACUUCGAAGACAUUUAUUCAUUCGUUCUUUGUUCCUUGCUGCUCAUUUAAUUGAAUUUGGGGAUUUAAUUUCAGAUCUGAUUAGUUUAAUCUUAUUCUUUGUUUUUAAUUUUUAGAUCUGUUCGUUUAGAGCUUGGCAACUCGAUCUUGGUCCGCGUGCAAUCCUCUAUCAUUUGGUAUCAGAUUUUGGGCGUUUUCGGUGUUCUUGGUUGAUUUCUAAACUGAUCUCUAUUUUUUAAAGCACAAACAGCAGUUUUACCUAGAAAAAUUGUUCAAAAAAAAUUCAUUUGAUUGGGUAAACGUUGUCUGAUUGAUCUAAAAUUUUACAUACAUAUUUGUGGCACCGUUAUAGAAUAUACAAAAAUUAAUCCCGCAAAAAAAUCAGUAAAAAAAUCAAAAAUACGAAAUUCAAUAAAAAUUUAAAAAAAGAUUCAUCGGGUUGAAUUUGGUGCCCAAAAUUUCCAGAUCAAAAAUUCAAUAUAUAAGGACAUUCCAGAUUUAAUUUUGUGAUUUUUAGAGAUCAGGAACACCUCGAACGAAGUUGUCAAGUUACUCCGCAGUUUUUCAGGUUUUCUGUUUUCAGCAAUUUUUAUUGAUUCUUAGCUGUAGGUUUUCAUUUGUUUGCCUUUAUUCUUCCUUUAUGUUAUCUAACACCUUCUUGUUUCUUGUGUUAGUAGGAUUUAAACGUGUGCACAACUUCUUCCUCGGUGCAACACGAAUCAAUUGGUGUCUCGUCAGUUUUUGGCAUCCUAGUGCAAAUUAGGAUUCUUUGGUAGAUCGGUUCAUCCACUCUCUAAUUGGUUGAUAUAAACUCUGAUAAAGAACUCACAAGAUUGAAUUCUACCUCAUUGAGAAUUUGAAUUUUCUUUUUGAGUGAUUAACGGUGAGGUUUGCUAACUUUUAUUUUUGAGUGUUGAGUAUUUAUUUUGCAGGUAUUUCAAAAAAAAAGAGGAAAAAAAUAAGAUGGUAGUCCGCCGAACCCUUAUGAUACGAUCUCGGUUUAGUAGUUGAGGCCGAGUCAUUUAGUUCCCGAUCGUAAACGAAGAAGUAGAAUAGACGAGAAGGAGAUAGAAUAUAUUUGUGUUCAAAGAAGUAAGAUAAGUUCGUGCAAAGUUGGAUGUGGAUUUGGUUUAAGUCGAAAAGGUAUGAAUAGAAUGGACGAGUUCGGUUUAGGAUAAUUAAGAAAUGGUAUUUGGUUUUGGUACGUUUUGGUAUUUGGGAAUUGGUUCGAAAUAGUAUGGAAUUGGUACGAAAUGGUAUGGUAUUUGGUACGAAUUGGUAAUGGUUCAAAGAGGUCAAGAAUGAACCAACACUAAAGAAAAGUGUCGACCCGAAACUUAUAGGACCUAAAUGAAUUGGAAAUGGUUGAAAAGGACCUUGACCCGAUACUUAGGAAAGUAUGAACCAAAGGUAUCAAAGGUGAACGCCACACUCGGGUUUAAGGAGUGAUAAGUUCGGAAAAGACUCGGAAAGACGCCACUAAAAAGCUUAGAUAAGUCUUACGGGUCUCGAACGAAAUUUGAGAGAAAAUGCCUCACAAAUUUGGCAGCAAUUCGCUAAUUAAAAUGUCAAAAAGUCCCUUACAAAGUGAAAAUUUAUCUAUUUAUAAUAAUCCACUAGGCUAGCCGAAUGGUCACUUAAAUUCCUUAAAAAUUAAGCAAAUGAAUUACUUAAAUGGGCUAGCUAGAUUCGGCUGAACUUGGAGCUCCAAUGGUCACCUUCUAGAUGGACAAUUGAACUUGGAGCUUGAGGGAGUAAAUGGCAGCAGCUACAUUCGGUUGAUGUGCUUAAAGGAGCUCAUUUAAUUGGCAACUAUUGCUGAAAAAUUAUCAGCAAUUAAGAAGAUGUUGAGUAGUCACUUUGAGUGUGAAAACCAAGUUUUGAAGAGUCUUUGAAUGUGAACACCUUGAUCCAAACAGCCAUGAUGUAUUCAACAGUGUGUAAGCAAUAAAUUCGGCUGAAUGGUCACUUAGGAGACUUCAAACAGCAGCCAACUUCAUUCUCCCAUUCAUGCAUGUGCCGUCCCCUUCAUGUACCCUCUUUUAAUACCUUACAUGCUCCAAAAACGUUCAUGGAUGAUGUACUUGCAGCAACAUUCAUCAAAUAAUUCAAAUUCAUGUUUAGACACAUUAAAUUAACACUAAAAUGCUGCACAUUAAAUUCGGCAGCCUUAGGACAUAAUUAAAACAAGUAAUAAAGUUAACAUAUUAAAAACAAGCUUAAAAACAUAUUUAUAAGCUGUAUAAAUUAAGAAAAAAUUAAUAACAUGUCAUAAUAACUAAAAUAUCAUGCAUAAUUAAGUUUGACCAGAUUUAAGACCAAUUUAAUAACGAAAAUUAAUUAAGCUUGUAAAUAACUAAUUUAACUAACUCAAUUAAUUAUUUCAGCUACUAUAUGAUUGACUAAGUUAUUUUGAGCUAAUUUUGAGCUGGUUUGAAUUUAAUGAGCUGAAGUGGAGCUUAAUUCAGCUCGUAACAAAGUGCAAGGAAGGCUCAUCGAGUUUGUCCAAGCUUCAUCAAUGCGUCCAACCAAAGUCUCGCCCCAAACUUGAUCUACUAAGGCCGAAACAGCCUCCUUGAAUUGUUUAGCUCGUGAUCGGGUGAUUGGACCUUGAGGAAGCUCCAAAGGCUCCUUGCUCGAGCUAGGUUGGACUUGAGGCGUGGCUGUAUCACCUUAAUAGCCAAAUGGGAGACGAUUUUGAUAACCAAAGGACCAAUAUUUUCCAUUCUAGGUGUUUUAUAAAAGGUAACUUAUAUUCACUUAUUAUUGAUAGUGGGAGUUGUUCGAAUCUAGUUAGCAGUUAUUUGGUGGAUUCCUUAAUGUUACCUUGUAUCGAGCACCCUAAGCCGUAUCACCUUCACUGGCUUAAUGAAUGCUCAGAAGUUAAAGUUACAAAAUAGUCCUUGAUCACUUUUAAGCUCGGGAAUUAUGAGGAUGAGGUAUGGUGUGAUGUGGUCCCAAUGCAUGCGGCACACUUGCUCCUUGGACGGCCUUGGCAAUUUGAUCGUGAUGUUACACACAAAUGCAAGCUUAAUAGAUACUCUCUUGUGUUUAAAGGCCAAAAAUUCACUCUUGCUCCUUUAAAUCCCAGUGAUGUAUAUAAAGAUCAAUUAAAAAUGAUGAAAUUUUGUGAGGGGGUAAGGGAGAAAGGACAAAUACAAAAGACAAAGAGAAAAGAGGCUAGUAGUGAAAAAAGUCAAAACCUAAAUAGCCCAAAGGUGAGUGAAUCCGCAAGUGGUAAAAUGAGAGUGACAAAUUUGAUGGCAACGAAAAAAGAUGUGCGGAGAGCCCUACUCAAUAAACAACCUUGUAUCCUUGUGAGGUUUAGGCAAAACUAUUUAUCUUUAUCUAACAUUAACGAAAAUUUGCCUAGUGUGUUUCAAUGUUUUUUGCAGGAUUAUGAGGAUGUUUUUAGUAAGACCCCUAAAGGUUUACCACCUUUACGUGGGAUAGAACACUUCCAUUGGCCACAUACGAAAGAUAACUUUCAACUUCAAUAGCUUUCCGAUGAAAGACGCUUUCAUACGAUCAACAUAGGCAAGGUUGAAGAUGAAAUCACACUACAUGAGCCUGAAGGUAAGCGAGGUAAGGAAUUUUUAGCAACUGUGUCCCGUGCAGAUUUGAAAAUUAUUGAUAAAACUUUUGGUGACUUAGUUCUUAAAAGAUCCCUUCAUUUUGAUCCGAUUAAUUGUUAUUCUUCGAUUGUGGUUGAUAAAGUCAUUAUGAAAGGAAGCGUGAGUUGUUAUUCUCUUGAUUUGCCUUAUGUAAACUCCUCGAAUUUGUGCAAAUCUGUUGUGGUGAAUAAGGUAACAAAAUUUGCCAAGUUUGUUUUCAAUUUAUAUUCGUGCCUUAAACAGUUUAUGUGGUUGUACAUGAAGUUUGAGUUCCAUUUGACAAAGGUUAACUCAACAACGGAGCUUCGAAUACACUAUGCCCCCGAUGAGCAAAGGUUUGUUUUAAAUGAAAAAGGUAAAAUCGACCCUUAUUCUUCUGCUUAUCAAGGUAAGAUGCUUGAAACCUUUGAAACACUUUUGUACUCCUCGGAUAGUGAUAAAGAUCGUGUUGAUGAACACUUAGAUCGAAACGUGCUUGACUGUCCUAUUUUAUUUAUUGAUGAUCUAUCUAUUUUGAUGGUUGAUAAAAAGAUUCUUAUUUUUGAUAAUGCAUGUAUGAGUGAAUCUAUAGACCGUCGAUUAAUGCAUGGUAUGAUUAUGCAACUCUGUGAACCAUGUGAAUCUUUUCAAAUACCUACUUGUGACGAUUAUGUUUACCAUUUGAUUUAUUACUCGCAAUUUAUUCAUGGUUUGUGGGAACAAUUUGAGACGACUGAAUUCCUUAAAACAUGUCCAUCUUUGUUUCGAAUAUUGGACGAGGCAGUGGCGAGUAAAUUAGAUUGUUUGCAUGGUAAUCUGAAUCUGUCCAUUCACAUGUGUUAUACCUGUUCUGUUAUGCUUAUGAUUGGACUACAAGCUUGUUUCCGUUGCUAUUUACUAUCUCAUGGCUAUUCUUUUCAGUGGACUCAAUUGCCAUUAGUCUCGUUCGAUAGAGGAAAGUCGAGUUCAUUUGAUUUUUCAUAUUCGAGGACGAAUCUUUUUGAGGAAGGGGGGAAUGAUACGAGUCACAAAGGCCCAACCCAAGCUCAAGAAGGUGAUGGGCUCAAAUCAAGAAAAUCAAGAUUCACUUUCUUGUUUUCAAGAAAGUCAAGAAACCGAAUCUUGGCCCAAUUUUGCUGUUUGGAACGAUUUCAAGAAUCAAGAAAAUCAAGAUUUCAAAUCUUGAAAAUCUUGGUCCAAGAAAUCGAAUCUUGCAGCCAAAGCGCAUUGGAUCUCCGUUACGAGCAUCAACGACCCAAUUUCGGUAGGAGAUGGAUCACGAGCCCAAAUUCUUGAAGGCGAGGCCCAAUAACCAAAUUCCAGCCCAAUCAAGAAAUUCCUUCAUACUUAGUUGAAAAUCAGGCCAAAUGUCAAAGGGCCCAAUUUAUAAACAUUUUAAUUGUUUAAUUUAAUUUUUUAAGCUUUAGGAACAUACAUGUAAAAUUCGGCCCCAAAACAGCCCAUAUAUAUGCUUGGCCGAAUUUUCCUUUAUUUUAUUCUAUUAAUUAGGUUUAAUUUUAUUAGUUACUUGUUAGAUUAGGAUUACUUGAGGCCUAUUUAAAGGCAUGGCCAGCCACCCCUUGUACAUAACACUUAGAUUUAUUCUUAAAUUUCAGAUUUGUUGAGAGCAAAAUUUUCUUUGAGGUUUUCUCCAAGAUUUCUCUCUUGAGUUUUCUUUAGAAGUUGUUUUAACAAUCUUUUGAUUGUGGGAGCCAUCUUCAACCUUCUUCUUGCCAUCGAUAUUCUUUGGAGGGGAGAUUAGAGCCGUUUGAAGGAAUUUGUGAAUUCUUUCGGGAAUUCAAGGGUUCUUAGGACUUUUCUUUAUUUCUUGCUGUUUCGAUUUGUUUCUUUAUUCCUACUUGUGCUGAUUCAUUAUCUAAUCUUUUUGAUGUUCUUGCUUGUGAUUCAGCUUUGUUUAACUCUAAGAUCUUUCCAUUUAAUCGGUCUACUUUUGGGCAGUAAAGUUUCGAAUCAAAAUCCAUAAAUCCUAGGGUUCUUGUCGAUUAAUACAUUCUGAUUUUGGGGAAAUCAAGUUGCUCGAAUUUGGGGUUUUUCUUGUCGGUUUGUUCUUGGGCAGAUUCGGCUUGUGGGGUUUCACUAUUUGAGUUCAAUUUCAUCUCCUUGAACUUCGAAGACAUUUAUUCAUUCGUUCUUUGUUCCUUGCUGCUCAUUUAAUUAAAUUUGGGGAUUUAAUUUCAGAUCUGAUUAGUUUAAUCUUAUUCUUUGUUUUUAAUUUUUAGAUCUGUUCGUUUAGAGCUUUUCGUAGGAGUUUCCCGUGACUUGGCAACUCGAUCUUGGUCCGCG
rnacentral:lncRNA from 1 species